rnacentral:lncRNA from 1 species
UUUUUUUUUUUUUUUUUUUUUGUAGAAACGAUGGGAUGGGAUUUCUAUAACUUAAACUAGCCUAUUCUAGGGGGGAGGGGAGGGGAAGGGGACUCGAUAUGAGUAGAAACUCCAUCGAAGAUGGCCAAAGAAGACCGUCACAUAUUGUGACAAAUUUUUGAGGGAGGCAGGGUUCGAAUCCAUAAUCUCUUUGCAUCACCAAAGCUUAGAAGGCUUGGGAUGACCACUGGACCAAAGGCCCAAUGGCUCGUGUUAUCAGUUAUUUGUGUUUUGGUUGUUGAAAUUAGCGGGUCACCUAAAAUUUGAAUUGUUGAGAAGGACAAGGUUACUUAAUAUAUCUGAAUUAAAAUAAAUAUGUAAAAUUGUAGGAAAAAGAUAUUGGAAUUUUGGAGGUUUGUGGAGACUUCUAACAAAAAUACUUAUAGAUAUAGAUGAGACAGAUAAUCAAAUCAAAUGGAAGUGAAAAGACAAUGUAGUAAAAAAAAAAAAACAUUUGCUGUUUGGACACCCUUUUUUUUUCCAGGAAAAAGAACUAGCGAACGUAAAGGUGUUGGUUGGUUCCUGAAAUCUGCAAAAAUAUGCUGCUGCUUACCACUUGUCGAGUGCUUCUCUUUCUAUCCAUUAUUACAUGCGACCUUCCUCAGUUAGCAUGAGAUUUGCGUGGCCACUCCAUCAAAGUGACGGCGUGCUACACAUUCAGACUCAGGCCAGAUAGAGAUUUUACUCGAGUUUGAAACGUAAUUCUUUCAUAUAAUAAUUCAUCAACUUUUCUCUUUUCUUUCUUCAACGGCCUUCAUCAUUGCAAAGUUGGUAAGUAAAAGUGGAGACAAAACAAAUUAACUGGGACGACGACACACGGAAAGUUUGCAAUUUCCGCGAGAGAACAAGUGAAUGGCAAAGGCGUGUUAUGCACGUACAUUUUGCUGCGGAUCAAUAGCUCAUACGCGAGGCUUUCAAUAGGAUUAGAAUUCCACCCAAUCUUCUCUUUCUCUGCGUUGUUGUCUCGACAAUUUGUGGUUCUUUUCUGAAUUCCAUCUUUACUACGGCGCCAAACGCGAGAAUUUCUUCUCAUCUGCCUCCACCCAAAUUUUAAUAAAGGCGCCAAACCCCACUAAAGGUUGGUCUUAUUUGCACUUUUUUCCCUAAUAAUAUUUUUGUUGCAGUUCCCCCCCCCCCACCCCCAACUAAUGGUCAACACAAUGGCUUAAUAAGGAGAUAAUGAUCUCAAAAUAACAAUUAGUAGAAACAAUACUUGAAAAUGAGAUUUGAAUUUUUUUUUGUUCAUUUCAAGAAAAUGCCAUUAAAAAUGAAUUUCAACCACUUAAAAUAAUCACAUGCCCUUGGAAUCUAUUGUAGAAUUUAAAAUAAAACCAUUCUAUGUACAAGAAAAAUCAUAAAUUAAUUAUCAAUAAAGAAUACUAUGCUAUUUUAACAACAACAAAAAACUCAUUGAAAUCUUCAAGUGUCCAUGACACCCAUAUGAGAUAUAUUUUUAUCACAUUUGUAUCUCACCUCUACUUAUUGACUUUAAUUAUUUUAAUUAACACUGUGAGAUUUAAUUUGAGGAGUCAUAUUUUGAACAAUAAAAAGGUUUCAAGAUGCGAUUUUUUAUUUUUAAUAAAAGUAAAAUAUUUUGGGAAUUUAGUUCUUGAUUCUCUCGAAAGAAAAAAAAAAUUUGCAUUAAGGUGAGAUGAGAAGCUUGGGCACGGAAACGAAGGAUGGAGAAAAUGGAUAUAGGUAGGACUAAAAUUGAAACUUUUGAUAUUCUUUAACUAUAAAAGAGGAUGUGGCUUAACAGAGGGAGUAAAGUGCAACGAAAAAAAUAGGUAGGGGAGAAAGUACAAAUAACACCAAAUAUUAUGGAGACUUGGUACCUUUAACCCUUGAACAAAAUGAUUGAAAAACAAAAAUAUUUAACUCGAGGAUAUGAUUAUGGCUUUAUUAUUAUUUUUUUUGCUCAAUAUUCAAUUAACUUCUACUGAUGGAAAGAUGGGUGCAUCAGAGGAUAGGAUAAGAUGGAAGGAACUGUAAAUAGAAGGUAAGGUAUGGAAUUUAAGAAUUUCCACUUUAAAAAAAAAAAGUGUUGAUGGAAUUGUUGGUUGUCAUUGGUAGCACGAUAGAAGGUGUAGACACGGCUUUGACCAUGUCAAAGUUCGAGUACUUUUUCUUUUCUAAUUUCUACUACUAAUAAAACCAUCCAGUUUUCCCUGCUGUAGCACGAUGCUCAUGAAAGUUUCAACCACAUUUCUUGGUGCAAAAUUGAGGUGCAAUGACGUAGUUAAGGAAAAGACAGAGUAAGAAAAAAGUUUAGUGGAGCCCAUUUCAGAAGUUAACUGCCCCGGAUGAAUUUUCCCGACUGAAUUCACAUUGAUGUCCAUUAUAAACACAAGCAAUGAGUUGGAACUCGUUGAUCUUUUGUUUCUUGCGUACUGUCACUUGAGAAGGUUGGAUGCGUUUUAGUUAAACCAAUCCAAAUUUUCUUCUGAAAAGCUCUCUUUAUCUGCAGUUGGAUGGCACACGUAAACGAGUUCAAACAAAUUCUGAGAUGAUCAAAUGGCACCAUACUUGCUACAGGAAAUCAAAGCUUCAUAGCUGGCAGCAAUAGCCGUCGUACAACAAUUUCAGUGAGAUUUUUCAACAGGCUGAUGUGUUAUCCAUUAUGGAAAUUAAGCAGCUUCAGAGUUCUUGCGGAGGAGGUCAGCAACAAUAGCAUCCCUGACUGAUGGAUGCCAGAACAGAUUAAUUAUUUGAAACAAAAAUGCUGUUGGAAAAAAAGGGGUCACACGCGAAAAGAUCGCUCAAUGAGGUGCAACAUGAAUAAAAUGACCAGACGAUAAAUCUAGGGAUUAGUAUUUUGAACUCCCCAGCCUGAUCAGGGGUGUUCUGCAAAUGGAAAUCCACGCGGCUUCCAUUACCUCUCUGAAAUACGAGUGUGUUUGGAUAGGAGAUUACUAUUUGAAAUAAUUAAUUAUUGUAGUAUUUUUUGUGAUAUAACAGAUCAUAUCGGAGAUUGUUAUUUGAAAUAAUUACUGUAACAUCUUUUAUGAUAUACUCCCUCCGUCUCACUUUGAUAGUCUUGUUUUCCUUUUUCGUCUGUCCCAAAUUGUAGUCCACUUUCCCAUUAAGAAAUGUAGUAAUUUUUUAAAUUGUCUAAAAUACCCUUAUUAAAUAUCUUGUUAUUAAUACAUUGUUAUUAAAUACUAACCCACUACAUUGAAUACAUUGAACUUUUUCAAUACUAACCCAUUAGUUGUAACUGAAAUUAAUUGGCACUCUCUGUGAUUAGCAUAAGGGUAUUUUAGGAAAUUAUUAAUCUAAAUUUAUGUUUCCAACCAAAUUAAUUACACUUUUUUAAUCUGUGUGGGAAAAAAAAAUCAAGACUAACAAAAUGGGACGGAGGGAGUAAUAUUGUAUCACAUAAGAGAAAAAAAUUAUUGAAAAGAUAAAGAAUUGAUUAUUAAUAUUUGGAAGAAAAAAAAAAGUCACACACUCUAGGUCUAGGCUAUGCAAGCAUGAAAAAACUCUGCCACCUUAACACCCAAUUUCUUUAUUGCCAAUAAUUCGUCCCGGAACAGGUAGCGAAUAUUAUUACAUGCAUCUACAGAAAUGUCCACUUCUGCCCAGCCAAGUUAAUGGGAGUUAGUAUGUAAUUUGGCACAAAAUCCAACCCUUUCGCGUACCUCUAUUGAAACAGUUAAUGGUUUCGUGUUCUUUUAUCGAUUGGUUAUUCCUCUCCAUUUUUAUAUCUUUUUUCAAUUUUGGUCUCGAUUAGUUCACAAGAUUGAAUGGCAAAUUCUAAGACCAGCCAAGAUGUUGAUUGAAGUUGAUGCUGGGAUGCCCGCAUUACUUCAAGGAGCUUAGUUUUAGACAACCACACGGCCCAAAAGAAACUAUGACAAGAAGUUAUGAAUCUGCUGUAAAAAAAAAAAGGGGGUUUGAUGUGGGUGCUUGCUCCUUGUCCUAUUUGUCGGAGUUGCCUCGUUUCAUACUCUUAUUGAUCUUUGCCCGGACAAAAUUGCAGGGUCACUACGCGACGCGACCGGGGAUGCGGAAGGAUGUGGAUCUCCUGCAGUUGGUAGGAGAAAAUGAGCUACACAAAUAGUUAGUGGUGAGGAAUGGCAACUGUGGCGAAACAGAAGAUGGGAUCCCCAUACAGAAGAUGGGAUUGGGCUUUUCAUCUCAUCUCGUUGACUCAUUUUCGCCCUUCUUUUCUCGCAAUAGUUGGCAUUAAUAUUUUUUGGCCAUGGCUUUUCCAGGGUGGUUGUUUGUUUGUUUCUUAGGUAGUUUGGACGAGAACGAAAAGAACGGGUUGUUGGAGAUGAUGAUGCUGUUGGAAAUUAGGAGUUCUUGGAACGAUUUUUUACUCUCUCUUUUUUUUUCCAUGUUUUCUUUUUGCUUUCCUAUUUUCCGUUAUUACUCUCACUUUUUCCUAGCAUUGUUGCUCCAUGGCUUUCAACAUUUAAUUCCCUUCUCUUUACUUACUAUUUUUAUUUUUUUUAAAAUCUUUCUUGCUUUAUCUUUUAUCUAUGUUUCGUCAUUCGGCUUUGUCCUGAAACAAAAUUCAUUUUGCAGGGCAUACAUUCUCCUGGAGCGAUUAAUUGUCAGUAGAGGAAAAUGAAUUACAGAAGAGAUAAAGCAUCAAUAGAGAUGCGAAACAAAACAUAAACAAACGAGGAACAAGUUUACAACAAGAAAUUAAUUCGGACUUGCGAAGAACAUAAAACAUUUCCCAUUGUGCUUGUCCCGAUAAAUAAUUUAGCUGUUUCAGCCCCCCCAAGACUAGAGUUCUCCACCAAUCCCACCUCCAGCUCCACCUCCUCCGCCAAAUCCUCCUCCUAUCCCACUACCACUACCAACGCCUACGCUCGAACCUCCUCUAAAGCUGCCACCUCCUCCUACUCCUCCAAACUCUCCGCCAGCACCUCCUCCAAAUCUUCCACUGCCACCAAAUCCUCCACCUCCUACACCACCUCCACUUCCACCACCUACACCAAUUCCUUUGCCAAUGCCAUCUCCAAAUCCUACUCCUGCACCACCUCCUAUAACCCCUGCUGAACCGCCACUACCGGCUCCAACCCCACCACUUGCACCUCCACCUCCGCCUCCUAUACCCCCUGCUGAACCACCACUACCGGCUCCAGCCCCACCUCCUAUUACUCCACCGGUACCACCACCUGCACCUCCACCUCCUAUACCCCCCGCUGAACCACCACUACCGGCACCAGCCCCACCUCCUAUUCCUCCACUGGUACCACCUCCUGCACCUCCACCCCCUAUACCCCCACUCGAACCACCUCCAAUGGCCCCGCCAAGCCCUCCACCCUUACCAGUUCCACCUCCUAUUCCUCCACCCGAACCACCCCCAGUGCUACCACCUUUACCAAUCCCACCUCCAAUACCUCCACCUUUGCCAACGCCACCUCCUAUGCCCCCUGCUGAACCACCACUACCAGUUCCAGCCCCACCUCCUAUUCUUCCAUUGGUACCACCUCCAGCGCCUCCAUCCCCUAUACCCCCACUUGAACCACCACCGAUGCCUCCACUAGAACCACCUCCAAUGGCCCCGCCAAGCCCUCCACCCUUACCAGUUCCACCUCCUAUUCCUCCACCCGAACCACCCCCAGUGCUACCACCUUUACCAAUCCCACCUCCAAUACCUCCACCUUUGCCAACGCCACCUCCUAUGCCCCCUGCUGAACCACCACUACCAGUUCCAGCCCCACCUCCUAUUCUUCCAUUGGUACCACCUCCAGUACCACCUCCACCCCCUAUACCCCCACUUGAACCACCACCGAUGCCUCCACUAGAACCACCUCCAAUGGCCCCGCCAAGCCCUCCACCCUUACCAGUUCCACCUCCUAUUCCUCCACCCGAACCACCCCCAGUGCUACCACCUUUACCAAUCCCACCUCCAAUACCUCCACCUUUGCCAACGCCACCUCCUAUACCCCCUGCUGAACCACCACUACCAGUUCCAGCGCCACCUUCUAUUCUUCCAUUGGUACCACCUCCACCCCCUAUACCCCCACUUGAACCACCACCGAUGCCUCCACUAGAACCACCUCCAAUGGCCCCGCCAAGCCCUCCACCCUUACCAGUUCCACCUCCUAUUCCUCCACCCGAACCACCCCCAGUGCUACCACCUUUACCAAUCCCACCUCCAAUACCUCCACUUUUGCCAACGCCACCUCCUAUACCCCCACUUUUGCCAACUCCACCACCUUUACCAAUCCCAUCUCCAAUACCUGCACCCUUGCCAAUGCUACCUCCAAUGCCUCCACCCUUGCCAACGCCACCUCCUAUUCCGCCACCCGAACCACCUCCAAUGCCUCCACUCUUACCAAUCCCACCUCCUACUCCGCCACCCGAACCACCUCCAGUACCACUACCUUUACCAAUCCCACCUCCUAUUCCGCCACCCUUGCCAACGCCACUCCCUAUUCCGCCACCCGAACCAGCUCCAAUGCCUCCACCCUUGCCAACGCCACCUCCUAUUUUGCCACCCGAACCACCUCCAAUGCCCCCACCAGAACCACCUCCAAUGCCUCCACCCUUGCCAAUGCCACCUCCUAUUUCGCCACUCGAACCACCUCCAAUGCCUCCAGUCUUACCAAUCCCACCUCCUACUCCGCUACCCGAACCACCUCCAGUGCCACCACCUUUACCAAUCCCACCUCCUAUUCCACUACCCUUGCCAACGCCACCUCCAAUUCCGCCACCCGAACCACCUCCAAUGCCCACACCAGAACCACCUCCAAUGCCCCCACCCUUGCCAAUGCCACCAUCUAUUUCGCCACUCGAACUACCUCCAAUGCCUCCACUCUUACCAAUCCCACCUCCUACUCCGCCACCCGAACCACCUCCAAUACCACCACCUUUACCAAUCCCACCUCCUAUUCCACCACCCUUGCCAACACCACCUCCAAUUCCGUCACCCGAACCACCUCCAAUGCCUCCACCCUUGCUAACGCCACCUCCUAUUUCACCACCCGAACUACCUCCAAUGCCCCCACCAGAACCACCUCCAAUGCCUCCACCCUUGCCAAUGCCACCUCCUACUCCGCCACCUUUACCAAUCCCACCUCCAAUACCUUCACCUUUACCCUCGCCAACGCCACCUCCUAUUCCGCCACCCGAACCACCGAAAUUGAAGGAGUGGCCGAGGCUGUAGCCCUUCGAAAUACCACCACUGCCUAGACCCUCAUUCCCACUCCAACUAGCAGCAGCAGAGCUACCACCACCAACAAACCAUUCUGGUAAAUUCUUCUUCACACUCGCUCCCACUUCCACAUCACCGUCAUUAAUAUUCUUUGACUCCCAACUACUCUCUGCACAUAUUGCGGCCGCCAACGUUAAGAACAAAACGAGAACCAGGACAAUUAGCCUCUUCCCAACCAUGUCAGAAUCCUUGCCACUAGUUAUACAAGAAUCAGUACAAUCUAGCUAGCCAGACACGAUUAGCUGUUUAUAGAUGAACAAAAUGGGGUGAUGCUCUGGCGUUAGUUAAGGAGAACACGACGUUACUCUCCACUUCUCAACUAAAUGUUCUCUUUUCCAUCCAACUUGUUAUUCCCUACUUAUUCGCUUUUAUGGCAAUUGUACGUAAGAAGCCAAACAAGGGAAACCAUAAACUAUUCUAGAAAAAAGGUUCUGGGUUGACGGGGCAACGAUCCUUGAACAAAUUCAUUGCCUGCUGUGAUCAAUAUUGUGCUCUUUACAACAAGCAUCCGGCUCGCUCAAGUCAUGACCAAGUGCCCCCUCCGUGCAUAUACUACUCUACUGUACCAGUACGUACGUGACUGCUCUAAAUAGCGCCGUAGCCAGGCAUGGUCUCCAUGGCCACCGCGCCGUGUUGGAUCAUGCAUGUCCAUGCUAUGCUGUUAAUAUUUGCUCCAUCUCUUACAUCACACGCAACCAUGCAAGUAUGCAUGCAACUGGCUAGCUAGCUAGGGAGCAUAUGAUGCAAGUCCAAUUUCCAAUCCUUCAUUACUAACUAAAUCUCCAAUUUUGCUUGUCAAGAUACGGGGUUGAAAAGUUUCCAUUUUCUAUCGUUACUAUUCACCAAAAAAAAUUAUAAGUGCAAAUUUCUUUUCACCUUUUUACGCAAAAAAAUUAAUCUGAUAAAUACGUUAUACCAUAUUCUGGAGUCAAUUGAUUAUUAGAUCAAUUUUAACUUGAACUAUAGUUUCAUUUUCAUGUAGUCUUGAUCUCUUUUUCCUUCUCUAAGCCAAUCAAAAGUCCUUCUCAGAAUUUGUGAACUUAUCAAACAUUAAUAUAAGUAUUCUGUCUAACUUUUGAAUUUGUUUAAUUUGUCUUUAUCAAGUAUUUAUAAUCCAAAUAGAAUUGUUGCUCAUAUUUCAUUACAAGCGUAGCGUGUGUCGCCUUUUUCCUGAGGUUAAAUGGACCGGGGGGGGUUUGGGGUUGCGUCUAUGGUGGAAAGCUGAGUCAGCUUUGUACCGUAGGCAGAACAAAUGGAAUCAGGACAGCACAUGAGCAUGGGCCAGGCAAAGGACAGCGACCGUGAAAUAGCUACCGAAACCGGGCAGAAGGAGUUGUAAAGAUGGGACCCACUUUAGUAUAUGAACUGUAUUAUUGUAAAUAAACAUGCACCCGCACAAGUUGUGGGCAUGUUUUAUGAAUCCCAAAACAAACUACGGUUACCUGAUGAUGAUUAACAUCAGGUAAGCAUUUAUAGUUUAAGAUUGGAGUACACAUGGCUUAAUUAGAUGAUUUAUUAGAAACAUAAUUAGCACAGUACUUCAAGAAAUUAGAAUCGUGACAUAAUUGACCCAGUAGAUUUUAAUUUAAAUUUAGAAAUUAGAUAAAUAAUCUUAUAUGUAACAUGGUGACUUUUAAAUUAAUAUCAAAUUUGUAGAUGGUAAUCAUAAACUUAAUUAACAUAGCACUUCAAGAAACUAGAAUUGAGAUUGUAGAUAAAAUAAUCAUAAAUUUUAGAAGAAAAUACUCUCCUCUUUGAAUAAUAAAAAAUUUAGAGUGGCAAGUAUUAAUCUCUUUUUCUUGGUAAUCUUAUUAAUAUUGAAAAAUAUAUAUAAAAAGAGAGAGAGAGAGAGAGAGAGAGAGAGAGAGAGUGAGAGAGAGAGAGAGAGAGACCUAGAAUUUGUCUUAUGCACUAAUAUAAUAUUAAGUACCAAUCAUUCAUUGACUUUUCUUUCUCUUUACUUACAAUUGAUCAUUAAUUCAUUUUGCAUACUCUCAAAACAUUAAGUUUAAAAAAAUUACUCAUGGUUUGGGGAUUGCAUCACAUAUUUCAUUAAUUUUCACAACAAAAUGAUCUACACAAAUUAUGGCAUGCAUCUAGGUAGUUAGUUAUACACUAUCAAUUUAUUUUAGAUUAAUCUUUUUUUAUACCAUCCAUCCAAUAUUUGGAAUUUCCGAUUUCAAUUUCGUUUUAUAAUAUAUAUAUUAAUAUUUAUUUAUUUAUUUAUAGAUAUAAUAAUAUUUUUUAUUUCAAUUUCAUUUUAUAAUAUGUAUAUUUAUGUAUAUUUAUAUAUAUAAUAAUAUUUUUAUAAUAUUUUUAUAUAUAAUAAUAUUUUUAUAAUAUAUUUAUAUAUAAUAAUAUUUUUUAUAAUAUAUGCAAUAUAAAAUUUAUAUUAUAUAACAACACAUCUAACAAAAAAGAAAAAAAAGGUUUCCGAAUUCGGUGAAUUAAAAAUUUACCAAAUUCCGAAUCGAAUUUGGAAUUGAAAUCGAAAUCGGAAUUGGUGAAUUCGAAAUUGAAAUCGAUCGGUAAUUCCUAUGCCAAAAUUCCAAAAAAUUUCGAAUUCAAACUUCUGAAUUACCGAAUUCGAAUUCGAUGCACACCCCUACCAAGAAACUAGAAUUGAGAUUAUAGAUAAAAAGUUCAUAAACAUAAAUCACAUAAUACAAAAGUUUCAAAGAUUGAACGUUUGAACUAUUGAAAUAACUAGAUAGUUACCAACUUAAGUUCUAACUCUGCAACUAGUUGUACUGGACAUGACAAACUAUAAAUCACAAAAUUGACUAGUAAAAUAGUGUCAAAAUUUGAGAAUUUUUAAAUAUUAACAUUAUCUAAUGAUAAGGAUAACCAAUUAUAGCAAAAAUCAAAAUUUACUCUUAAAAGUAAGUACUGAAUUAAAAGAUUUUGUUGUGAUAAGGAUUAUCUAAUAAGAGCAAAUCCAUUGAAACAAACAAACAAUGACAUCUAUAUAAAUGUCAAUUACAAUCUCGUAUUCAAAUUAAUAUACAUAUCCAAACAAUGCACUUGACGAUAAAAUAAAGAGGUGAGAUCCAACACAUUAUUUAAAACACCAACAUUGUUUAGAGUAGUUACAGUAGUUAUAUUGGCAAAAUGUGAUUAAGUAGUCAGAGUAAAAAUUAGUUUUUCUUUAAGGAUAAAAUAGAAAGUUUGAAAAAUGACAUAAAAAUGUUUACACUAACUGCGAUCUCUCUAACUUUAUAUGUUGAAUAGAUAGUAGCUUUUUAAUUAGAAUCAAAAUUAUAGAUGAUUUAUUAGAAACAUAAUUAACACAAUACUUCAAGUAACUAUAAUCGUGACAUAAUUAACCUAGAAGAUUUUAAUUUAAAUUUAGAAAUUAGAUAAGUAAUCUUAUAUGUAACAUAGUGACUUUUAAAUUAAUAUCGAAUUUGUAGAUGAGUAAUCAUAAACUUAAUUAACAUAGUACUUCAAGAAACUAGAAUUGAGCUUGUAGAUAAAAUAAUCAUAAAUUUUAGAAGAAAAUACUCUUCUCUUUGAAUAAUAAAAAAUUUAGAGUAGCAAGUAUUAAUCUCUUUUCCUUGGUAAUCUUAUUAAUAUUGAAAAUAUAUAUAUAUAUAUAUAUAUAUAUAUAUAUAUAUAUAUAUAAAGAUUAGAAUGGAGAGAGAGAGACACAGAGAGAGAGAGAGAGACCUAGAAUGUGUCUUUUGCGCUAAUAUAAUAUUAAGUAUCAAUCAUUCAUUGACUUUUCUUUUUCUUUACUUACAAUUGAUCAUUAAUUCAUUUUGCAUACUCUCAAAACAUUAAACUCGUGGUUUGGGAUUGCAUCGUAUAUUUCAUGAAUUUUCACAAAAAAAAUGAUCUACACAAAUUAUGGCAUGCAUCUAGGUAUUUAGUGUAUACACUAUCAAUUUAAUUUAGAUUAAUAUUUUUUUAUACCAUCCAUCCAAUAUUUGGGAGCAUCACUAAGUGUUGUUAAUACACAUUUUUCAUCUAUUAAAUUCCUUUUGUGUCUUACUAUUAAGAGUAUUUAAUAUUUCCUCACAUAUAUAAAAGUUACGGUUUCUUGAGUAGUUUUGUUAAUUAAUUAUUUACCAAUUACUCACCCUCCUUUCUGUGCCUUUCUUUUGUUUUUAAGCACUUCAUUUGUAAAUUUUCAGUUAAUGUUAGUAAUUACCAAAUAAGUAAAUACCGUACAAAAAUCACCAUAUCAUAAAAAUUCUUUUACAAAUUAAAUUUCAAAUUGAAAAACCAAUUUUCAUGAAAAAAUACAUUUUUAAAUGACCAUAAAAUUAAUUAUUUCUACAUACAUAGGGAAACUUAAUGCAACAGUGGUAGAAUUUAAGUGAUUCUUUGACUUUGUUCUUUUAUUUAUUUAUUUAUUUAUUGCUUAAGUUUAUCAAUUAUUGAUCCAUUUUUCACUCUCUUAUAAUAUUAAGUUAAAAAAAAUUAGCAUCUACACCAACCAAUUUAUAUCAAUGUUGCUGUCCACUGCUUCAGGUAAUAUAAACUUUGCCGGUUACCUUUGGGACCCAAACAAAUAGACAAAGAUGCCUAUGCUGAGUUGUCAUCUUAGCAAUAGUUCUGCCUACGGUGCAUAGUUGAUCCGACUUUCCACCGUAGAAGCAACCGGGGGUUUGGUGUCUAAAAGGGAAACUUGUAUGUAUGCCCUGUUCUUUUGUCUGCAAAUCUUUCAGGCAAUCCGAUCGUGACCUGUUGUGCCAGAAGACUCUGAUCAUCGAUGUCAGGUUAAAUAGUAACAACAAUGGAAGCAACUUUACAAUUUUUGGUACCAAAAUAUUUUAUUCACGGCCAAGGCAUUAGUCUUCUCCUUUUUGGGUGCAUUCCAAAAAGAACAAACGUGUCUUGAAUACUUUUCAACCAAAGUACUACUGUAAUAGUAGUAUUUUUGUGCCACGUCCAAGACGUUUUUAGAAAUGUUUGCAAAUACAGGCAUCGGCACAAGCUGAUAAAUAAGUUUCCCAUUCGAAACCAAUACUAUUUAAUGAAAGUGUAAAAUAACAAAUUGUAUAUAUAGAUAAGAAUAGAUGUAUGCCUGCUUAGGAUAUAUUAUACAUAGCUCUUGCAAAAUUGUAUUCCCUGAAGGAAAAUAAUUAAGUGGACUUUCAUGAUAUCCGAAAAUAAUAAAAGCAUCAGUUUGCCUUUAUUCCAUCGUAGCAAUUUUGUGAUUUUGGUUCAAAUACUUAAAGUCAAGUCCCCUAUUUUAUCUUUCUCAAUUGUAAAGUUCAAAAAUAUCUUUUAAAAUUUUUUUUUUAAAAAAAAAGAAAGAUAUUCUUGUAAAAAGCAUACCCAGUGGCAAGUCACCCAUUGAAAAAUAGCAAAUCCUAUACGCCAGUCAAAAGCUUACGUCAUCUUCUGUCUAUUAUCCUUCCUGAUUUAUGCCUUUCCCCGCCUCUCACUGAUCCUCAAAACCCUAAUCAAAACCUCAAAAAAUUGAUGAUAUUCGAGGUUUACAUAAAAUUAGUAGUUUUUUCCUCUUUUCUUAUCUAAUCUAAAUCUAAUCGUUUGAGCAAUGGAUGAUUCCGAUGAAGAAGGUCCGUAUUUAACAAAGCCCACAUUUCGAUCAAAGCCAGCAAUUCGAAACCCUCACUCUUAUCCGCUCAACACCCAUUACACCACAAACGACGCCAUCUUUGCCCAGGAAGAUGACGAAUUUGAGGAUGACGAAGAAAGCCCACAAUUUCAAAAUGCUCAAAGCGGGUAUUAUUAUCAAUCUUUCUAUGAGGAUGAGCCCAAGCGAAGCAAAAAGAAAAGAAAGUUGGAAUCUUUGGUCCCAAAUUACGAGCUUGCCCCUCGCGCUGGGCUGAAUGCACCAAAAAGUUCCAAUCUUGGUGGUGGGAGCUCGAGGGAUUCCUGGAAUGAAGAGGAGAGCUUUGUGCUGUUGGAGGUUUGGGGGGAGAGGUAUUUGGAGCUGGGGAGGAGGAGUUUGAGGGCUGAGGAUUGGGCUGAGCUGGCCGAGAAAGUCUCCGAGAUGAGUGGAAGGGAGAGGAAUGAGAUGGAGUGCAGGAAUCAAUUGGAUGUAUUAAAGCAGAAAUACAAGAAAGAGCGGGCGAAAAUGGAGAAAGUUGGAGGUGGAUUCUUGAGCAAGUGGGUGUUUUUUAAGAAAAUGGAUGUGUUAUUGAAUCUGAGGAUGAGAGGGCAUGUUGGCUUGGGUUGUGGGGUUGAUUCUGGGGAGUACGUGUUUAUGAAUCCGCGGGUGUAUUUGGAUAAGUCUAAUGUGUUGGAUGAGAUGAGGGAUAGUCCUGGAGUGUCUGAUGAGGAGAAUGAGGAGGAAGAGGAGGGUUUGGGACUAGGGAAGGACGAGGAGGAUGGAGAAUCGGCUAGACUGUUGGCUGACUCGAUUCAGAGGUUUGGAGAGAUUUAUGAGAAGAUUGAGAGUAGUAAGAGGAGACAAAUGAUGGAGCUGGAGAAGAUGAGGAGAGAUUUUCAGAGGGACUUGGAGUUGCAAAAGCAGCAGAUAGUUGAGAGGGCACAGGCUGAGAUUGCUAAAAUAAGAGAAGGGGUUGAAGAGGAGGAUGAUGACGAGGAAGAAGAUGAUGACGAGGAGGAGGAAGAUGAUGACGAUGUUCAGAAUGAGAAUAUCCAGGUGUGAUACAGGUAAUGCUCAGCAAAUCACUCAAGUGUGCCUGAUUAAAUACUAUUGUCUACAAGGCUUCUACAUGUGUUAGUAUAAGAGUGUGGAUGAGUGUUGCUUUGACACUACCUAUUCAGUUCCUGUUUGCCUGCUGCUAGUUUUUGAUUAUUUGGAAACUUUAGUACCUUUUCUGUCGAUAGUUGUAUGCAUGUAAGAGUUGUGCUUGGCAUUAAACUAUAAUCUUCAUUAAUUGAAGCUGAUUGCUUUUCUAUUUGUUCCAAGUUGGAAAAAUCCUAUACGGCCUACGAAAAGACUUGAACUUUGUCUUCUCAAAAUCAAUACUCCUUUGACAAGUGGUCUGUUGCAUAUGAUUUCCAAGCCUGUUUCGUUGUGUACCAUAGAAUUUUGUCUGAUCAAAUUAUUGAUCAGAAUCAAUUCCUCUGCUGUAGUAAAGAUUGAAGUUCAGAGAAUUUUUUUUGUGGUUCUUUUCUUCCUUUUUUUUUUGACAAUUCUCUAGUAAAACCUUUUCUUUUUCAUAUAAUUAACUCUUCCGAAAGGGAAGAAUAUCUUACGAAGAUAAAGAGAUGAAGUUGUUAGGUUGAUUACAAAUUGUAGAAAAUUCAAAUUCUACUUUCUAUAGUUCUUUGCUGCUAUUAUGAGGGCAAUGAGUUGGACAUCAAUAUCAGAAGAGGAGAAGUUGAAAUGUCAAUUCCUCCUGGCAUUGUCUCUAUGAUGUACUCGUCAUGAAAUUUAGGGAUAUUGAUGACCAGUCUUAGCUUUAUAGAAAGACUUGCUUGAGGUUUCAGCAUAGCAAGUUAUAUUUGUGCAGGGUUGUAAGCUUGUCAAAUAUUGAAAUAGCCUCGUAAAAGAGCAAUGUGGAAAUAUUUAUGAACUGUGAAGUGAUCAGGGUCAUCGGAUGUCUUGCACCUUUAAUCUUUUUUGUUUUUAUAGGCAUAAGAUUGUCUUUAGUUUAAAUUAACAAUACGAGAAGGUUCCUUAUUGUCUUUGAAAUUUUUGGAUUAGUUUUGGUGCAAUGAUGCUCAAAACCUUGUAGUAAAUUGGUAGCUUUUCUGUAUCUUUAUCACAAAAAGUCUGUUUAAAAAGUACACUUGGUUAUGCAGUUUAUGUGCAGCGCUCCGAGGCAAUCUGCUCGUUGUGGUCAAACACAUAAUUGCAGCAUCACCAAUUAAGUGUUGCUUUUGUCCUACUAAGACUUCGCCUGAUAUUUAAAUUUUCAAAGAACAGUUUCAUGUUGAAAGGACACGCAUAUGACUGUACUUAUUCUAUUUGCAGGAGGGAGAGCGUUUAUGAGAAAUGAAGGUCACCCUUCUACUGGACUUCAGCAUCGAUGGCCAACUGCCAGAGUGGUUGUUUUGGGAAAGUUUUGGCUCUUUUUGAGUACCUCGCCAUAUACCUUUUGUUUCUUUUUUGGUGCAAGGGUAAUUUGGAAUUACUCCAUCUUGCAAGUAUGACAAUGAAUUUCUGUAUCUACUGUUAGGCUUUAGUAUGAAAUCUGGUAUUUUUGGUUAGGUACAGUAGCUUUCUAUUCUCUAUCUUUCUAAUUACCACAACAUGUUAGCUCAAUUUUGUUUUCCACCAGCAUCUACUUCUUGUUUGAUAUGAAACAAUAAAAUGGGAAUCCAUGUGAAAACACAUUCUUGAUCACCUUAUUAUAUGUCAUACAUUAAACUAUCAAAAUACUGUAACAUUAUUCGAAAAACAUUUUUCCAGGUGAUGGGCAGCCCAAAUGGAUUUGCACCACUGGCAAUAUUCUGUUCCUACUUGACUUUUAUCAGCACAUUCUCGUCGGAAUUAAAGCCUCACUCACAUGACAUCUUAUGAAGGGAACUCAUUUGUUGCUCAUCAGUGCCAUUAAGAUGUGCAUCAUUAGCCGUUUCCUUUUCUUUGUAUUACCCUAUUUAUCUACGUUGUAAUUUAGCGUCUGACAAAUUCAAGUUUAUCACACAGAAACUGGUCAUGCUACAAACAAAUGCAAAAAGUUUAACUCGAUUCUGAUCUGUUAUCAUUCUCUUUCAAAUGGGUUGGUUGCGCAGCUUUGGGUAAUCGGUCCAACGGCAUAAACACAACUCGUUGGGCAUGAUAAUUUCUUUGGUUUGAUAACUCUCUACUCUCUCUUAAAUAAAUUAACACUGCAUUGAAAAUCUAACGAACAAAAUAGAUCCACUCCUAGACAGUAGAUACAUUUGGCUGGAUCAAUCAACCAGCGUAAAAAAUGGAACAUGGUAAAAUGAAUUCCCAACUACGGUGCACCAGGAAAUAGUUCGUCCUUGAGUGACGGAGCAAUCCACUGUAUCUGAACAUAGGUUAUCUCCCACAGGUCAUCACCUUCUUUGGGAAUUAACAACUCGUUUUCCUUCAUUAUUGAGAUAAUCCUUUUUAGUAAAUCCGGUAUUACCUCUUGCAUAUCUGAUUUGCCAUACCCUCCCAAAUCUACCUUCAUGCACGUAUCCAUUCUUCGCAACAGUCCCAUCCAGAAAGGCCUAAAAUGAGGACUUUCUGAUAUCGGUUUCAAAAGCUGCGAAUAAACUUCCACUAAGACCUCCAUUGCACGCUUCAAACUUCCUUCCAUGCUUCGAGUUUCUCUUUCUGCAUUCUCCCUCCUUGAAUAUUCCAGCAUCUUCUCGUGUAUAUCAUCAACCAUGGCAAAGAUCAAGCUGUUAAAACAGUAAAUACAGUUUGCCGGUGUAAAACACAGCUCCUCAGCCAGGAUGAAGCUUCUCUGAAGAGAAAUGACCGCAUGGUUUCUCACUUCUUCUCUCCUGGCUAAGCAUGUCCGUCGAAGGGCUUCACCUAGUUUGACAAAUAAGUUCAUGAUGAAGCUGGCAGAGCUGCCUGAUCUUGCAUUGUCUUCCGUGGAAGAGGCGCUUGCGUUGCUUCCCGUACUAACAUUGCUACCCGGAUCUGAGUACCCACUUCUAAACCACUGAACCAACAAUUUCACUGAAUCAGACAUGAGGUCCAUAAUUUUUAUGUUCUUUUCAACUGGACUAUUCUUGAGUGCAACAAAACCAAAUGCACAUUCAAUACAGGAGGCAUAGUUAGUCCGCGAUAUGUGCAUUCCAUCAGACAUCAAAUUGAUGAGUGACUCAACUCCUUGAUCAUAUGUUUCAGGAUGACGUCCAGUGACUGACAACAAAUGCAGGACAGUCUUCCAUCCUAGGCUACUCUGCAAAUUUGCAGGGUACUCGUUCAGGAUUCUGCUCACCGACUUUACUAGGAACUCUGAGCAAGUGUCAAGAAUUUCUUUUUCCAACUUCCACAUUAGAUUUAUGGAUUUAAAGAUGAGUUCCUCAGAGACUUUAUCAAGUUGAUAUGCAGAAAGGAUCUUGAGGCAGAUUUUCAUCUGAGCUACAAUGGCUUUUUCUGCAAAUGGGAUUGGUGAAAACAGAGGAAAUUGGGCAACUCCAAGCAGAUAAUCAUGGUAGUGAGGCCAAAUGGUUGAGAAUCUGUGCAUAUUAACACAAGAAAUGAUGACAAUCAAAUCCCAACAGAAUGCCACAGUUUCUUCCUCCUCAACGGGAGUGCUGAACUUUUGGCCUUUCCCAGCUGAUGCAUAUAUAAGAGCACGCCCAAGAUUCAGUAAUGAUUCAUCGGGUAAACUUGAACUGGUGGUGAAAAUGUUUUCAAUAUGGCAUUGCUGGAUAAUGUUUUGAUUCUGUUCAAAUUCACUGACUCCAAGGUUUAGAGAUUCUUCCACGCUCUCCAAUGAUAAGAAGUGUGAAAAUCGACCAAUUAAGCCAGAGGAACGGCGUAUAUGGUUGAAUUUUGUAUUACGGGUUGAAAUAGAUGCUGCUGACUCAUUUUUAUCAUGCUUCGUUCCAAUAGAUGCAUCUGAAGCAAUUUCAAAUUCGACAACCGAUUGUGGAAGUAACUUGAGCCUUCUGAGUUUCAACAAGCACUCAACAAUAGUUCUCCAACUCCCUCGAAGGGAAUUUUUGAAAGUGUUUGCAAUAGUGAAAACUGCGAGUGUCGCCAUCCUUGGCUUCAUAUCAUUGCUGAAAGCAUACAGGGUUUCUUCUGCUGAUGCAUAAGGAUUGAGCAAGGUAGUGAAUUUGCAAAACGAACAAAUAAGCUCAUCAAGAUUGUCUUCUAAUUCAUAUUGAGCUAUUCUAGCUAUUGCAAACAAUAACUCAAUGCAUUCAUGGAGAAUUUCCUCUUCUUCAGUUUGCUCAAAAAUUGCUGCAAGAGUUGCAACUGAGGGUCCAGCAAUAGCAGCAAACAUAUCUCUUCCUAAUCGACGAUCAAAAUUACACAAUACAUAUGGCUUCAUGAGUUUGGCUCGGUUGACUAGCUGAAUCCAUCUACUCGGAUUCAUUUCUGCAGGUGUACCUGAUUGACCAAAGAGUGUGAUCGCUUUGGAUGAUAUAGAAUGAAAAAGCUCAGAUAAAUAUUCUCUAGGGAGAUCACUUCCGCCAUUGAUUUCUCGAUUGUUCCUGAUGAAUUCCUCUUCUGUCAUCUUUUUCUUAACUUGCGGGUUGUGUUGAUCAGUGUUCAGCAUGAUGAGAGAAUAGCAAAGAACAAACACGGCAUCCUUGCUCACAAAAAGUUCCGAGGACUGCUGAUCAUAAAAUCUUUCUGAAAAUGCUUCAAGUAUUCUGUGAAUCUUCUGAGACUCUCCCGGUAAUCUGAAAGUCUCCAAAUAAUUCCGUAAAGCUGAAUCCAAUAUCAUACCUGUAAAUACAAAUGUAUUUGUAAAUUCAUUGAGGACUUGAAUAUGGAAUUCAUCAGGAUCACCAAGAUAAUCCCCAAUCAUGGUCUUGUCAAGUCUUGGGGUGAAACGGAAAAACAAAGCGAAAGCUUUUGGAUCAGGAGGAUCAGGGAUUAAGUGAGAAAUUUUCAGAUACUCCAACCCUUUCUUGUCAUCUUGAUUGAAGUGAUUUCCAGCAAUGAGUAGCUUCUUCUUUUGUGCCUUUCUUACUCUAACAAAAGUCACCCAAUCCUCUAGACCAUCAUCUUUUGAAAUCUCCUCCCAGAAAGGUGUAUACUCAGUGAUUUCAACUGGAUAUGGUCCAGAAGGGCAUGUAUCAUCUUCCUUAUCGAUGUUCUCUGCAAUAUUAUGAAUGACAAGUACAAGGCCUUCAAAUGCUUGGACCUGUAAACUUGUCAAAGGGCCACCAGUUGGGAAUGCAUGCUUGCAAAGCAACCUGCCUAUUUCUUCAAACGCAUUCCCAAAAAUAGGAUCACAAUCAUAAUUCACAUAGACUUCGAUUAUGAAGGUAGAUUGCCGACAGAAAUUCACGAUUGCUUCAGUUGCAAGUUCUUGGAGUUGGGGAGAGCUUCCAAGAUUUGCAGCUCUGAACAAAACAAAUGAGAAGAAAGCUUCUAAUUGUAGACGAACGGACCUGCAAUUGGCCGAGGCAUUUCGGUUAAUUAUUGAUUGACCUUUAUAGAAGCCCAAGAAUUAAGUUUGUGCUUGAUUUGGAUAUGCUAACCUGCGAAGGAAGUGAUAGAUAUUCAGAACAGUACUGCAGAUCAUUGACAAAACUAGUGGGCUUGAGUACGUCCCGUAGUAUAUUAAAUGGUGAAAUAAGUCAUCUUGGACCAUCCUCAAAAGCUUUGGGUGCUUACCUAUGCUGUCACCACUCAAUUCUAUCGCAGAAUUGAUCAAAGCCAAGGCAAAAAGCUGAACGUCUCCAUCAGUUGUAUGAGCAUGCAAAACCUCUGACUCUGCAAUUUCAACCACAUUAAGUAAAGAGCAUAAGAAUUGAAAGAUAUCCACAGCCGAGCGAAUUCCAAACCCCGAAUCCAAAUUGCUAUCUUCUGUAUCUGAUUCAGAGUUCUCCCAAUCAUUCACCUCAAUAUCUGGCAACCGAUAAUAUAUUAUUUGGAUCAGUUCCUGCAUUGUGUACCUUGCACUGCGCUGAAGCAAGUUGCCACGAUGGGCCGACUGUUGGACAACCUGAAAGCAUGUAUUGACCACAGUACAAACUGCAUGAUCAGUGAGCAAAACAGAAGCUUUAUGCCUCAUAACAGCAGUCAAGACGUGCAAAAUUCUCAUCAUGACAGCCUCCUCAGAAACAGGAUCAGUUUUCUCCAGGCGACAAGCCGUGAUUGCAGUCACAGUUGCAUCCAUAACAUCUUUAGCCCCAGGAGUCUUCUCAUCAAAUAUAUCAAGCCUGAGGAUCUUCAGGAUGGAUGAAAGGGCCACCCCCGUUGCUGCUGCAGGAAUGUCAUCGCUUUGUAUUACAUCAAGAAAAGGUGACAGGUAGAGAGACGGAUCAAUCUUCCGCCAUUCUUGCUCAGCAUUGAAGAUGAGUGACCUUAAUGAUUUUAAAGAUUGGAGUAUCGUGGAAUCAUAAUUUUCUUCAGAAGGGUGGUGAAAUUGGGGGUUUGCUUCAGGUAUUCGUCGAAUCACAGCUAGAACAGCUCCAACCUCAGCAUUCAACAUGCAAGACAAUCCCAGCUCCUUUCUUUUUAUCUUAGUCAUGUUGUUGUUGUUUCCUCCUUCUUGCUGAUCUUCCAUUAAUCCUGUUUUGCAGAUUUAGUGCUGAUAAAAAACAUCUCUUGAAGUUCGAAAAACGGUUUGGAAAUAAUGGUGGUGACGGGGGAUGUGUCCUGUUAAGUCAGCGGAUGAAGUUACUUCUUUAACCAUGUAGAUCAAUUGUGUAAAGGACUAAGGAUGCAUUGUGAAAUGUUAGAAAGAUAGGCGGAAUGUUUGCUAAAGAAAUGGCUGUGAUAAUUCACUGAAGUUAUUAUUUGGUUUGUAUGGUUAAAACUGCGUGCUUUGAAUAUGUCUGCCACCGACCUCUCCUAGUCUUUUUCCUUCUUCUGUUACACUUGGCAAUAAAUUAUGUAUGUUAAUGCAUAUGAUCAAUUAAGCGUGAAUUAUUACCGAUUUUUUUGUAUGUAAAUUGGAGAUUGUUUCGAACAGUCAAUUAGUUCAGAUUUGAUAUAGUUUACUAAUUCGUGUACCGUUUAGGUUCAUUGUACCUUCCUUAUUAAUUGUAAAUCUAACCUAUGAAUGGAGAUGCUGUUCGAGUGCAAAGAUAAUAAUGAAACGUAGACAAUUUCUCGCAAUUUCUGAUGUUUUGUAACCAAAUAUUUUUCAUGUCAGUGACCUUCAUUCAUAUAAAAGUGGUGUGACUUACUAAAGAUAAAUGUGAAUAUAUUUAAAGAAGUUUUUUUCCGCGUUCUAAAGGACUAAGGAGGAGAGGACGUGAUUGCUUUGAUCUGUUUUUCAACUGAAAAAUAGAUCAUCACGAUUGGCCCACAAUAAUUUGUCGUCCGCAUUUUCGAUUUCUUCAUUUUGGCAUUACUUUUGGUCGCCUUUGAGAUAUUAGACAAAUGAAGAAGGAAACUUUGUGACAAUGACCAGCAUGCCAUGCAGCAGAAACAAAUUCAAGAAACUUUGUGCUACCGGCAUUCGAGUUUGCCUCUGUCCUCUUUGUACAUCCAUCCGGCAUCCUUCCUCACGGCUACACAUUGGAAACAAAUAUUCAACGAGUCACUCAGCAUGUACGAAUUAGUUUUAAAAAUGAUGGAAACAUUCCUGUGCAAGUCAAAAUAAACAGAGAGUUUCUUCUACUGUUGUGUUAAAUAUUUUUAAUUGCUCCCAUUUUCUUUGAGCUCUUGAGCUCGUGCCACAAGCAAAACAAUGUAUCAAACUUAUCGUCAGAAUCAGUCUCAGGUGCCCUGGAUAUCGCCAGCAGAGUUUUGAGCCACUGUUCAUGCAGGGUAGAGAAGUUAGCCCUUUGUUCGCUUGACUUGAAACUUUCUCCUAUUAACUUCUUCAUGAUUUGAGCAGCCCCUGAAGCACUUUCAACAACCAUCUCAGGGACCCCAGCCAUUUUCGCCACUUGCAUACCAUAGCUCUCAGGACAUGGUCCAGAAGCUAGCCUAUAUAGAAAAAUCAGUUCCUGCUCACCCGGAGAUGACUUCUUGGACUUCAGCUUAAAAGAGCAGGCCAUAUGUUGCAGUGAAACACGAGGAUGAGAAGCAAAUUCCUUCGUGAGAGGAUGAUAAUGUGUAGCAAAUAACAAACGGCAGUUCACUGUUUCAACAAGAUAACGGAAUACCUAGACAAAAUUGGAAAGAUAUUACAAAUAACAAGUCAGCCACAGUAAAAUAAUUUACAGUAACAGAUAACUAGAUCUAAAACCAGCUCCAAUUUAAAUUUUCAACAACAGAAUCAUUUGCAGUCAACUUUUAAAGUUUCAGGCUCUGAGCAACAUCAAAUCCCCAAAUUUUUCAUUUCUUUUUAAUGUCAUAGUCCCAGGUCACUACCAUUUAGAGUCAACUUAAGAUUGUUAACAAAGAAUAUUUUGCAGUUUACUUUGUCUUGAGAAUAUAAAAGCAAGAUUUAUUGCAGCUGGUAAGGUAAAUAGCAAGUGAAAAUGAAUCUCACAGCAUAUGCAAUUGCAUAGCCAUCAAAUGUGCUAGUUCCUCGACCCAAUUCAUCAAGGAGGACAAGGGAAUCUUGUGUGGCAGUUUGUAACACUGCUGCUGUCUCAGUACAUUCAAUAAGAAAGGUACCUACAAAACAAUCAAAGUGCAUCAUGCAUUGUAAGAAGCAAGCUUCCUUGUAGAACUAUAGCUACGUUAAGAAAAUAAAACCAAAAGAUAAAUUAUUUGACCAACAAAAUAAACUUUCAGAUUAAUGAUCAAGAACAACUCAAUCAAGAAUCAAGUAGAGUCCAAUUGCAGAGCAUACUCUCGCCUGUCAUAAUUCUAUCAGUGGCUCCAAGCCGUGUAAAUAUGAUGUCCACAAGUGAAAGGACACAAGUCUCACAAGGCACAAAACAGCCCAGCUGCAAAGUACAAAUUUUAGGCAAAGAAGCAAAAUCAGCAAAAAUUAAACAUCAGGAUAGCAAGGAAAUCAAGCAUAUUUUAGUUGACAAACAGUAGGAAAAAGAAAGUUGAACCUGAGCUAGUAUAACAGUUAAACAAGUUGCACGUAUAAGGGUUGACUUCCCACCCAUAUUAGGUCCAGUCAAAAGCAAAGUACAGGGAUUAUAAAUACUAUUGUUGCCCCCAAGAUGCAUGUUGUUCGGAACAGGCAAUCCUCCAUUCUCACCAAGGGCAUACGGAUGCCAUAAACCUUCAAUUGAAAGUAUUGGUCCUCCUGUCUCUGAAUCUACAGAUCUUGAAUGAGGUAAAAUUUUUGGUCUACACAUAGCCCCAGAAGAAAAACUUGUGGUUACAGCAAAUGAUCUUAGUACAUCUAAGCAACUUAUAGCAUGGAUUACUUGAGACCAUUGCAUAGCCUUCUCUAGGAAAAGUUCCAUUAAAAUUGAUAGCGUUUCAGCACUUGAAUCUGUAGCAUCAUGGUCCUGUCACCAUGCAAGGAGAGAAACAAAUCAGGCUGCUUAUUCUCCUAUAUGCAAUUCAUGAAAUAAAUCCAGCUCAUGGGUACAGGAAAAAAAUUGUCAAACAGGUAAAUUUUAAAAUUAUCAUAUUGCAGAUAAACACUAAGAUGAAGACCAACAAAGGGAGUGGGACACACUACUAAAUUUUAAAACUUGAAAACCUUGCCUAAAUAUCAGCAGACACUUCCCCUGUAACAUUUCUCCAGAAAAGUAACAUUGCAUCUUGAGGACCAAAAAUUGGAGACCAUAUCAAAGUAUAUAUCCCGUGUUAUGGAAGAUGAAAAUUCAGCUAGGUAUUCCUACUAAAAGCUACUAUAUCAAUAACUGGCUUCUACAAUUUUUUGACAGUACAGAACACCAAAACUCUACAGAUAAAACAAGAAAAAGUAAAGCAUAUGUACUUCUGAGCACAUGCAUCCAGCACUCCCACUUUCAUAAUUCUACAGCAAAAAGAUGCCUAAUCAUGAAGCUAUAAGGUAGCAGAUAGAAAAAUACAGCACAAAUCAAUUGAAAGCAAGCAGCACAAUUCAUGGAAUGUAAGAUUUUGAAGAAAGUCGUGACCUGAUAAUUGGGAAAGUCACUGUCAAUUGCUGCCUCAAAUUGUGCAAGAAAUUUAUCAAGCCCAUCAUUACCAAUUAACAGAGGAAGACAAAGAACUUUUGCUAAUGAAGAUGUCAUAAACCCUUCCUUCUGUAAUAGCAAUAACAAAUCCAUUCCAAUACGCAGGCCUUUAACAAGUGAUCCAAACGCUUUAACCUGCAAGAAGACAAAAUUUUGAGUAAACAUAUUGGUUGAGUACUGAGGAUAGAUCUUGAUUAUACAAGGCAAAGAUUAGAGAGGAUAUUUGCCCGUAAACACUACUUGAUGAGCACCUAAAACAGACAGUCACUGACCACCCAUGAUCUCCCCCAUUGAGGGAACCAAGUGUCUUUGCACUUUAGCACAAGUCUUAAACGAAAACAUUGUCCCUGACAAGGCAUUCUCAUGACAAUGCUUUUUUGAUUCCACUGUCUAGAAGAUGUGAAAGAAUAAAUAGCAUGAGAACUUAAUUUAAGCAUUGAUGGGGAAAAAGUAUUAUCAUUGACUAGCAACUUCAUAAAGACUCAAGCUAACUAGGAAUUGCAGUUUGCACUACUGCAUUCUCAGAAAUAAUAUUGCACUGUUCAUCAAGAGUUAGCCGAAAAGAAACCACCAAUCUUGAGCUACCGAUGAAAUGAUGCAAGUGUGCACGCACAACAACAAGAGUACAUACACAAGCAAAAAAACUUAUUGAGAAAGCUUACUCGCUGUUUCAAUUUUUUGCUGCCAAUCAGUGGCAGCAAGAGCACAGCAGAAGAGUUAAUGCUUGCCUUAACACGCCCAAGCAACCUCUCUAAGUCUGGAAUCUUGCGAAGAUAUUGAGCCACAAGUAACAUGAUAUCUGAAUGUGCUAUAAGCUCCUCAACAACAUCAAGCCUAUGAUUGAUUUUCUCGACAUCUCUCAGAGGAUGACAGAUCCAGUUCCUUAAAAGCCGUUUACCAGAUGCAGUGACACAAUUGUCAAGAUAUUUGUACAAUGUACCUAUAUAUUAAUGUUGCUUAAAUUAACAUAGGAGGAAGCAUAACCUUCAGGUCUUAUAUUCUAACAUAACUCUUUGAUAUACACUAAAUUAUACACGAGCACUUGCCUGCCUGAGCACCAUCAGCAUUGUUAUUAAAAAUCUCAAGAUUGACAAGUGUCUGCCCAUCCAUUCUUAGACAACCCUUGUAGAGUUGAUACGAGUAAACGUCUCCAUUAUGUAAAGUGUCAUCUAACUGUUCAACAAAAUAACUUAAUUCAGAACAAAAGACAUUGAUGUUGAAGGUUGUACUACAAACAAUUUUCACAGGCCUACCAUCAUUCGGGAUAAAUGGUUAGUGAGUCCUCCAAGAGCACAUAACGCAAGAUCCUGAUGCAUAAUCCCCUCAAGAAUGUGAUCCCACCUGUUAAGAGAUUCUUUGAAGUAACCCUUCAACUGAAUGAAGUUUCUCACUUCUGAUGCAUUACCAAAAUCAGCAUGCAGAGCUGGAGUCAACAUUGAUACAGUAGAGCCUACAAGCCAAAGUUAAAUAGGCUUCUUAUCCAAAAGAUCCAAUCAUCAAUAACAGCAACCUUUGUAAAUAGCCAAAACUAAAGAAAGAGACAUCAAGCAGUUUCACUAAAAAGAAAAGUUGUAACUGAUAAUUGCAGUACAGAAGAAUGUGCCAAUUUGCAGAUGAGAACUUAAAAGGUUAAACUGUUGUCACCUGUUAGCGAGUACUUUUUCAAUGCUUUCUGUGCCUCUUUGGACAGUCCUAUAACAGAUUUGAGUAAAUGACCAUCAGGCUAGGGCUCAGCAAGAUUAAUAUUUCUAACAUAUGACAGCUUUUUGCCUGGUUUCUAGAAACUCCUUAAAAGAAAAGUAAAAGUUGGAUGUGAAAGCAAUUUAAUAGACUUACCUUGACUAUCAUAGAUCACUUCCCUAGGUGACACCUAAAAGUCAAACCAAAAGAAAAAGAAGACCAAUCAUCCCCACUAAAUAUUGCACACAGAGCAUAUAACAGAAAAUUAAGACCAAGGAGCAUACUUGCAUCAACAAAGCCCCCAAAGCUGCAUAAGAAGCAUCGUCACUGAUGGAACCAACCCAAAAUUUUAAUGCAGCACAGUCGACAAAAGCAAACCCAAAAGAAGUUGAACCAUUAUCUGGACAAAAGCAAUCCUAGAUACAGAAUGCAGCAAGAUGUUAAUCAUUUUAUAAUUCUUAUUUGCAAUGAAACUACCCUAUCUAGCUUUACUUGUACAACUUUACCAAAUUUGAGAGCUCAUGACACAUUUUUUCCUACACCAUCAGUAAGAACAAUAUGGUAAAGUACGGAAAGCAAAGAAAAGGUUUUCAAGCCAACCUCUUUUAUUGCAAGAAGAUGUACAGCGUUUGGCCCAAUGUUGCCCUCAGUUGUGGUGGAUGGUGUGAGAACGCCAAUUAGCUUCCUUUCAAUAACCUAAAACCAGCAUUGUAAGCCAUGAUUAGAUUUGAAUGACUAUCACCUACAGUUUGCCAGAGACCAUACAAUGACAGGCACAGGUCCAUGUGGAUAACGGAACUGCACAAACACAGGUCCAUUUCAAACUUACAGAAGCAGAACCUCUUGAUUUUGCUUGUUCUGAGGUCUCCAACUGCUCAACCCGUCCAACUUUGUAGCUUUAAAUAAGAAAUGACGAGUAAAAAAAAAGGACAGGAUCAGAAUGCAGCAGGAAAACAAAUAGGAUCUCUACACAAAUAUAUUAAUAUGAAAGCACCAGUAUAUCCAGAAAUUAGUAAAUACUGAAUAGAUGUUCCACAAGAAAAGAAAACCAAUCUGAAAACUAAACAAAUCAGGAUGCUUGAUUUAACGUAUUGAUACACAUUAGCCACAGAACUUGCUUACCAACCCCUUUGACAAUUAUAAAAGAUAAAAGAAGCAUAAAACAAGAAAUUAGAUAGAGUAGUGAAUAAUGAAUAGAGGCUCAAUUACCAAAGAAAAUUAAUAUGAAACCAAACAAAUCAGGAUGCUUAAAUUAACAUAUCAAUGCACAUUGACAACAGGAAUUUGCUUACCCACGAUCAAUCAAUUUCUGAACAGCAUCAUCAAUCCCACUCUCAGAUAUCCCAACCUAAUAGCAGCGCAAAGGAUCAGUAUAGAUAUGAUAUUGAGUAAAACCAAACACCUACCACUGCAAAUGCCUCAGAAAACACUAUAACAGGAUGACUAUAACUGUAGAUCGGGACAUUACCUGUCGACAUUUACCCACCCCGCUUAAUGUCAUUUUCCAGUCAAGUUCCUUGUGACCAAUUUCAGCAUCAAGUUCAUAGAGCUCAUAAAACUUUCCCUGAAAUAGAAAUAUGAGUGUUUUAAAAGAGUAUUGCAAAAGACAGACAUGAAGGGCAUAUUUUUUUUUAUCUUCAACAGAGUUCUUCAUUCACAUUUUGCAGAAUAAAUUCAUAAAAAAUGGAUAUAAAUUGGAAGCAUGAUAAUCACAAAGCAGUAUGGCACCAAAAUUAGUUUGGACAAUCUAUAAACCAAAGAAUAGCAAGUAAUGUAAAUCAAGCUUAUAAAUCUAACUGAAGUUAGAUGAUCCCUGUACCCUACUACAGUUCACUCAGAAGUCACAGAUUCCUAAUCAUUAGUCUUAUUUCAUUACACAAUGAAAUCCCACUGGAAAUCUCUGAUAAGUUAUAAACUGAAAGUCUUUGAUUUUUGAGAAAGUGCCUAGAAUAUGAAAUUAAUCAUCAAAAAUUUUGAAGUUUAGAAAUCAUUCAGCAGUCACCCAUUUAACCUAUUGCAGAAGCUCACCUGUUAGGUGACUCUUUGAAAUAAAUGAAGUAUGACGAAUAAAUUAGAUUCACCAAAAGAAACAAGGAAAAAAAAACAUCCUUAGUGCACUGUAAUGAAGGUAUGGGUUCGAAUGGACUGACCACUUUAAAGAAAAGCACCACAUCCAUGUAUUGACAUUUAACUUCCCAAUAUUGCUUUUGUGAUGCCGACAUCUUUCUUAGAGCAUCUGGUGGUAUUAAGAGUGUUCUUUGGUCAUAUAGAGGAUCACCUGGCCUUUUUCCCUUAGCAUCCUUGAUUCUUGAAGGAUGAAGCCAUUCAAACUUGCUAGCCAUUUCAGAAUCCUCUAGAUAUUUCUUUUCACCAUCUAAAUCCUGAAGAAAUUUCACCCUUUUGGUAGCAUUUGACUUGGAGAAACCACUCUUUUGCUCGAAAUUACAAAUAUCAUCAUGUAACCUUUUUAACCGAGGGACUGAAGGUCGCAUGCCUGGCGUGUCUGGUCCAAGAACAUCAAUGUCAUCAGUUCCAACAACCAAUGGGCAUCCCUCACUCUCUUGCUUUGUUGUCCCAUUAGUAUGGCAAAUACUUUGCCUCCCUAUUUGCUUAGAAGUCAAGUUUCCAUCUUCAAACUCUUUCUGCGACUUCGAUUUAUCAAGAACAGAACAAAUAUUGUUUGAGACACUUGCUUCCUUCCUGCCGUUUUGCAGUCAAUAUGCAAUAUGUGGGUCAUAAGCAGACAAAGAAUUUAAAUGCUGCUUGGCAAAAAACAAAGGAAAAAGUAAAAUAGCUAAUUAACGAAUUGAUAUAGUUAACUUUAUGCAGUAAUGCUACCUAAAAAGAAUUGCAUUGAGGGUAUAUAGAAGUUAUAGGUCUCUUUCUGUAAACAGUUGAAUUUCCUCAAUAAGCUAGUGCAACGACUAUCAAAUGAUCUACAUUUUUAUCAAGAUAAUCGUAGUAAAUUAUCGAGUUCAUAUAGGUUAUAUACACUGCUACAUCUACCUCAAAAGAGAAACAGUUUCUCUUCACCUUCCAAGUACACCAGCUAGUACAACACUUCGGAACGUCACAGUAUAGUCGCGAAAUAAGAACAAAAAUAGUGAAUAUAGACAGAUGUACACUCACGAGUCAUUUAUCAGAACAUAUAUUCAGAGGCUAUCAAUUUCUUACCGCAAAAGUUUACAAAAGUAGCUACUUAAUGCUAGCAACAUACAAUUAAAUUAAUCCAACUUUACCAACCUAUCAUCGAUGAGUAUUUCAGUUUCAUAGUCAAACAUUUAAAAGAAAGAAAUAAAAAACCAAAAAAAAAAAGGGGAAAGGAAAAGGAAAAGCAUGAGAAACCUACUCAUUGCAAGAUAUUUUCGUAGUAUCGAAUCUCGCGAACUUGUGCAUGAUACUGGAGAAGAGCGAAUUUUUGCUUCCGCUCUCAAUGUCGUUGACGGGGAAAAUCUGACGCGGCACUUUUUCCGGCGGAGUAUCGGUUCCUCUGACGUCAUCAACCGAAUCGUCAAUUGUGGAGGUAGAAAUAGCUUUGGUAAAUUCAAUACCAGCUCCAAUCUGAUUCUGAUGUUUGGGAGGAAAAUGAGGAGCUCGGCCGCCGGAGUUCUGUUGCUCCGCCGACGGUCUUUUGAGAAAUGAAAGAAUCGACUUCUGACGCUGCAUUUUUUUUCCCCCCUGGUUGUCAGCGAUUAGGGAGAAGAGGAAAGCCACUGACGAUUUUAAAUCAGAGAAAGGAGACAGUGAUAAAGAGAAUUGGCGCCAAGUUUUGGCUCCAAAAUGGGUAACAUUUUGGAGGUUCUCAGCUGGGCGGUGUAUUCGUGGCCGUUCGAUCCGUUUUUCGGAUUUUACUGUUACCAGUGGCGCGUGGUAGACCGCGGAGAAAUUUCCACUUGCCCCAGUAACGAGCGUCAGAUGGGGAAAUUCUAGGGCAAUUUGGCUCUUUGCACCAAUCCAGCCAUCCAUCCUUCGAAGGUGUCAAUUUAAUUAUGUACCAGAGAAAAAAAGGGAAAAAAAAAAAAGAUGUCAAUUUAAUUUAGUCUUAUACACGUUAACUCUUUUUUGAUUUCCUGAUUAAAUAGUAUUUCACGAUAAUGGUGUUCCAUACCAAUUUACGCACGUCUUAAAUCAGUCCAGUGCCCUGAAAUACCUCAAAUUACAUGUUAAGUAUAUCAUUCACACGAGUUUUAUAUGAUUAAACCAAAGUGUAAGUGUAUGCUUCACCAAAUUACAUCAUUUCUUUUUAUUUGACAAUUAUUCAGUUUUCAACUAUAAUGACACCCAACAUGGUACAAACCCGAGAACAUUUUGCAUCUAGUUGUGUCAUUUUAAGCAAUAGUCUGAGGCCAAUUAGGCAGAUUUCCCAAUACGAGUAGUAUCAAUAUCAAAAUAUAUAUAUAUAUAUUGUAGAAUAACAUGUUUUGCAUCUAGGACUAAUUGCAUUUGUUGGCUUAGACACGGUUAGGUAGAUUAAUCUCUUAUGAGGCCUAUAAUCGUUCACUGGGCAUAAAGGGGUUAGUUUACAAUUUACAUAACAUUGAUACCCUUUUGCUAAGUUCGAGCUCAGAUCCUUGUUUUGUCUUGUAUUUGUAAUCUUUGACGUGUAAUUUUGGAAUCCACAUGGAUGAAUGUAAUUGCAUAGAAAGAGAUAAACGAAGUAGUAAACUUUUAAUCAAAGGUUAAUUUUGCAUGUGUGUGUGUGUGUUUAACCUCAUGUAAUUUCUUGAUUAUCGUAUACAGAUAAUUGAAUAAGGGAAAACUUGUAGAGAAAAUACGGAAAACUUUAAAGUAAUGAAAUUUGAUUAUUUCGAAAGUUAUUAGACAAUUGAUUUUGGUUUGAAAUAGAUUUCUUCUUCUUUUUUUCCCCCUUGGAUCAAGUGGAGCCAGAAGUGUAGAUCCGAUAUUAGGAGAACGGAAAGACAUACGGUAAUUUUUCCUAAUAAGGGUAAUUUUGCCUUCAAGAAUUUUGCAAUGUGUAUAAUCUUCUAGAUGUGGACACAUUUUGGCUUUCUAGAAUAAUGCAAACGCCUUCUGUGAGCUUCAACUAGGGCUAUCAAUGAGGGGUCGAAUUGAUUCUAACUCGACCUGUUUGCCCCAAAACAAAAGGGGUCCAACCACUAUAAUUAUGGGUUGGGUAGAAUUUAGGCAUACAUUCAUAACUCGAUUAAAAUGUGUGUCAAGUUUCGGUUUUUAUAGGAUCAAAUUGAUUAGAGCCUGACCCGUUGUUAUAUAUGUGCGUGCAUAUGUAUUCUAAUGUAUAUAACUAUAAAUAUCUUAUUUUUAAAUACAUAAUGUAUGAUUAGACUAUUAGUAAUUAAUAUUGGUUUUGAAAUGAUUUAGAUUCAUUAAAUAAUUAUAUUUAAAGAGAAAACUCUAUUAGUAUUGACUAUUAAUCAUGUAUUAUUAUUAUUUUCAAGUAUUUAAAAAGAAUUGUUGACAAAAUUUUUAUUGAUGAACUCUUAAUGAAAUUUAAACUAAUUUAUAUGUAAUUUUAAUAUUGUAUAUUACAAAUUAACUUUACUACUUAAUGGGUAUAGUAAUUAUAUUAAAGAAAUUAAUGAGUAAUAAUUGAAUAUGAGCUAAACUUGAAUUAAACUCAAAAUUCAAAUAUAUUGUGAGUUUAAGCAUGAACUUCGCACAUAUUAGCCCAAAACUCAUUAUUUGAAAUCCAAAUAUCUUAUUAACUAAAUAAAUCGAGCAUGAGGUUGUUAAAAUCCAACUUGGAUGGCCCGACCCAACAAAGGCCUUGCUUGGAUUGAAGGUUUUCGUCGGAAAAUAUUAUCGUUUUCCGUGAUCACAUUUCCCUAUCACCUUUUUCCCUCACAUAUAUCAAAUCGCUACAGUAAUUUUUCCAUGAAAAAUGACGGAAAAUGCAAUCCAAACACAACCUUAACUUCAACUAGGAUGUAUGUAUUAACUUUCAAUUUUUAUUAGUAGUAUUUGAAACUAGAAUAUCUAUUUUCACGAGGUGAGUCGAGCAGUGAAUCCUUUAAACAACCUCUAGAUAGAUAAUUAAACAAGAACAACUUGUUGUCAGAGGCUCAAAGAAAAAUUUAAAGAAAUUUGUUCAAUAAUACCUAUUUUUUAAUUAUUGAAUGUUGUAAAACUAAUAAAUGAAGUAAAAAACUGCAGAGAAAAAUGUUAUAUUAUUCAUCAUUUGAGCAUUCGAGCGAAUAUAAUAAACAUUCUCUCUGCUUUUGACUACUUCUAUCUAUUCUAUUAUAUUUUGUUAUUUCAUUAGUACUAGUUUCACAACAUAUUUAUCAACAUGAAUAUCCAACUUUAAGCAAAAGGGAAACAUGUGUAUCUAAGUUUGAGCAAGUACAGGUUUCUACAUGUGUUCAACAAUCAUUUAAAAUUGAAACUUGUAUUUGAUAAUUCAAAAUUAUAAACUUGUACUUAUUGACUAAAGUUAGAUACUCAUGCUUCACAUUUAUUCAAAGUUAGACACUUAUGCUAAUAACGUGUUAUGAAAUUAAUAAAACAUAAACUAAUAAAUGAAGUAAAGAAAUGUAGAGACAAGAGGAUUAGAAAAAGAGAUUAUAUUCAAAUAUUUUUCCAAAGAUUUCAAAUAAGACUUGUGAACUGUCUAAGGGUCUGUUUGAUAACAUAAAAAAGUGCUGAAUUUGAAUUUUUUCAGACAUUCAGAUGUUUUGAGUAUUUGAUAAAUAAAAAUCUAUUUGCUGAAUUUGUUAAGCAGUGCUGAACCUGUGUGUAUUUUUUUCAGCACAAGAAUCCUAACUGAAUGCUUAAUUCUGGUAAGAAUCAAUUGAAUUACUUCAACUACCCUAUCUUAUCUACCAAAUCUACCCUUGUUGUUAAUUAUGUUCAAAAUUCUUAUAUAAUUAAACAAUAUAAUAUUCUCUAUCUAACGAUUUUUAGUUUAUCUUUUCUCACUUUCUAAUGACUUUCACAGCUUCUCCAUACUCCUUUAUAUAAUAUAUUUCACAUUUUAUAUUAAUUUGAUUUAAAAAUAAAUAUUGUCAUUUUCAUACCUAACAAUUUUAAACUAAUUAAAUGAUAGAUUCUAUUUCUUUUUGGAAUGAAAGGAUAUAAGGGCAAAAUUGUCAAAUUAAACUUAUUAAGCAUUCAACUAUAAAUAUUUAUCAAACAAUAUAAAUAGGUUUAACAUUAAAAUUCAGACAUUUAUAUAUAUUUUUUAGUGCUUAAAAUUCAACAAAUUAAUUGUUUCAGUAUUCAGAUUUCAGAAUUCAAACUUCAAAAUUCAGAUUCAGUUUUAUCAAAAGGAACCUAAGUGAUACAAGACUAAAGGCACACGUAUCAAUAUUAAUAUAGAUAUACGAAUUUAAUAUUUCAAAUACAUAAAUUUAUCAAUGAAUGUACCAAAGGAUGAAUGCUUAAUGCAUCUCCUAGGGAGAUGAAUAUACAUCACACAUAUCAUUUCAUUAAUUUCAUAAAUUUGAAGAUGUAUUUGUAGUUCUUCUAACAGGAAAAAAAAAGGUUAAUCACAUUUUGUCCCCUUAAAAAAUAUCUCAUUUCUCAGUUUACCCCAUAACCUUUAAUUUUGCUCACUUAACCCCCUUUAGGAUAAAAUUGCCCUUGCAUUAUUUUGACUUUUAAUUUAUCUUAUUUUCCUUUCUUUUAUUUUUUUUCUCUUUUUUUAAAUUAAUAGUUAUUAAAUCUUAAGAAAAUAAUAAAGAAUUAAAAUAUAAUAUUUAUGAAUGAAAAAUAAUAAUAUAAUAAAAAAUAAAACAAAGAAUGACACGCAAUGUGGGACAGACUUUCCGCGCGAAACGGGACAAAUGGCACAUCUCAUUCGCUAAUAUCCAUCGUUGACCAAGAGCCAAAGAGGCCAACCCUUUUUAGCGUUUUACUUGGGCACCAAGUUCUUGCAAAGACCAACGUGGCUUCUUUUCAACCAAUCAACAGCUGCCAACUCACCAAUCAGAGAACUGGAUAUUCACCACCACACCAUCCUUGGACAACAAGUUUAGUAGUACCUCCGCGAACCUUCGAGAUCCAUAGCUAUCACCUCGUGCCUUUCCUUUUUCCCCUAGCCGACUCUUCCUGAAUCCCAACCCCAUAUAAAACCCGUCCUGGCCCUCCUCAAAAAAUCGCUUUUGAUGGUUAGUUUGAAAGAAAGACAGGAGGCAGAAAGAAGAAGAAGAAGAAGAUCAACCUGCUAUUUUUGUGAAGGAUGCCGAGUAGAUUUCAGGGGGCGAUCAAGCAGGAAUGGGAGCCGGUGGUGCUGCAAAAGUCUAGACCCAAGGCUGAAGACCUGAGGGACCCCAAGGCGGUGAACCAAGCUUUGAGAACAGGUGGUCAGGUGCAAACAAUCAAAAAAGCGGAUGCCGGAGCAAAUAAGAAGGCAGCCCCCCCUGCUGUAAAUGCAAGAAAGCUGGACGAAGCUGAGGAGCCUGCGGCUUUGGGGCGGGUAUCGACGGAGGUGAGGCAGGCCAUACAAAAGGCGAGAAUUGAGAAAAAGAUGAGCCAAGCCGAGCUAGCGAAGCAAAUUAACGAGCGACCUCAGGUGGUUCAGGAGUACGAGAAUGGGAAGGCUGUGCCUAAUCAGGCUGUAUUGGCUAAGGUGGAGAGAGUGUUGGGGGUUAAGCUUAGGGGAUUAAGAAAAUAAAUGGCAUAAAUAUAGGCUGAACGUUAAUGAAGUUUUGUAAAUGAACAGUCUGUCACCUUAGGUUGAGAAUUUCAACCGUUGGAUGUAAAUUAUUAUUAUUGUUGUUAUGUCGGACGGUGAUGUUUCUUGCUUACCUUGAGCAUUUACUCAGCCGACAAAUGAUGCAUGUUUAUUUUAUUUUUGUUGUCUUCUUUGAUUAACAAAGGCGUAUUUUCGGAAUUUCCAGCAAGGCACGUCGAUUGAGUAUGGACUAUCUCAAUCGGAAGCACUACUGUUUUUUCAACUUUUUUGCAGGCAAAAGGAGUCACGCUGCGAUGUAGUAGCUGGGUUUAAAGUUUCAAGCCUCCUUUCCAGGGACCACCUCAGCAGCAACCCCCCCCCCCACCCCCCUUUUCCUUCCCGGCGGCCCAAAAAAAAAAAAAAAAAAAAAAAAAAGAGGAGGCAACGCUAUUCUACUAGCACAGGCGGCCGGCGGCUCUUUCCUAUAACUAUUAGCUAAUAAAUUACUUUCGAGCUAGGGAAACAAUCAACUGGGCUUACAAUUGGAGUUUGCUUUUCGUUGUUUAGCUAUUAAAGAAUCUUAACAAAGCUAUCCUCAUUUUGGAUUGUCUGGGACUGCUGAGACAGCAUCCUCAUUUUAAAUACGACGGCCCCCACCCAAAAAGAAGAAAAGGAGAACGCUGGAGCCUCUUCGUAGUCCUUUCUCGGAAGAGUCUGUUCUCCCUUGCUUCGACGUUGAAAUCCUGUCUCCUGCCUAACCGAUGUGAAAAGAUGGUAGCCUUUUUGUCAUUUCUACCCAAAAAAGAAAAUUUUCUUUUUGCUUGGGUUGGAAAUUGCCAGAGAGAAACCAAUAUUCCAAGCUUUAAUUAACCGUUUUAACGAGCAACUUAAUCCAUCAGAACUCGGGCGAGAGAGACGUCAAUUUAAUUUUCGACUGUCUUCUUUUUUAUCAGCGUCGCAGGUAAAUAAUUUUACAGGAGAGUACGAAUAAAAAAGUGCAAGAAAUUCAUUCUCAAACUGACAUUAUUUAAUCCCGCAUGAGGAUGUAUCCUCAUUUCGCCGCCUUUUUUUUUUUUUUUUUUGUGCUUUUAAAAAUUUCCCGAUGCUACAGGAUGCUUACAGCCAAGGUGAAUUGUAAAUGGGAGUAGCAACAGCUUUAACUACAAGAUACUUCUUGAGGCCAUCCAUUCCCAUGUCUCUUCCAAAACCACUCAUUUUGUAGCCUCCGUAUGGGCUGUCCCUGUCGAAGGCAAAGUAACAAUUUAUCCAGAUAGCACCCGCACGAAUUGAUCUUGCGACGGUGUUGGCAAUGUUAAUGUCGUUAGUCAUAACGCCCGCUGCCAGUCCAUAUUUGGUCGCGUUUGCUCUCUUGAUUGCCUCCUCAACGGUCCUGCGUGUGUUAUUUAGUAUGAAAUAUUACUUAGCAUGAACACGUGUCCAGGGAAGGAAUAAGGCGUUUGAAGGCUUAUUAGUCAGUACUAAUUGACUUACUUGAAUUUGAAUACUGACAUAACAGGCCCAAAUAUUUCUUCCUGUGCAAUUGUCAUCUCAUCCUGCAAUGCAUCAAGCAAAAUAAUUAUUGAUUAAUUGCAACAGGAAUCCAAAAUGCUUUUUGCCAGUCUCAAAUCUGGAAAGUUGUUGAUUCAAGAGAUUUACCGUGACAUCAGUGAAUAUUGUCGGCUCAAUGUAGUAGCCCUUCCUGUCACCAGGCUUGCCACCAUGGAAUAAGGUGGCACCUUCCUUCUUCCCGAGCUCAAUGUAUGAAAGUAUUCUAUCGUACUGCUUCUUGUUAACCUGCAUCAGACGGGAAAUGAAAAUUGAGAAUGCAACAACCAUGGAGAACUCGUCUCUCAGCAUUGUGAGGAUGAUAUCCACAGAUGAGAUGAUGGCGAUUAGAUUUUGCUACUGGACAUAAACCAGUUUCUGAUUCACAUACUUGGGGUCCUUGAUGAGAAGUUGGAUCAAAAGGAUCACCGACCACCCAAUUUUUCACCUUCUCCUUCAACUUCAGUAGAAACUUGUCAUAAAUCCCCUCUUGAACAAAAACACGAGAGCCAGCAACACAUAUUUCACCCUGGAAUUGAUUUUUUUUUUGUUUUUGUUUUGGAAGAACAAAAGUAAGUCAGCAUUCUUCAUCUUUGAUCGAAAAACAGAUCACACAGACGAAGAAAGAAAUUAAUGAAAGACGACCUUGUUAAAUAGAGUUCCCUGCAGUGCCAGUUCUGUAACUUUGUCCACAUCUGCAUCAUCGAAGAUUAAAAUGGGGGACUUGCCUCCCAGUUCUAGACAUACGGGCUUCAAGUUGCUUGUUGCUGCAGCUUGCAUGACAAGCCGCCCUACUUCCGUAGAACCCGUGAAACUUACCUGAACAUAACAGGCACGUGUGUCAAAUGAAAUAAUCUUUUUGCACGAUACUCGUAGACACAAUUCAAGUAAAGCUUACCAUAUCAAUGUCCGUAUGAGAGCUAAUUGCCGCACCAGCUGUUUGUCCGAAUCCUGUUACAACGUUAAGCACUCCAUCGGGGAUUCCAGCCUGUUUCAAGUAGCAGAAUUCGUAAGUGCUAUUAAAAAAAAAAAAAAUUAUGGGUCGCUCAAUUGUUGUCUCGUUUAAUUUCACUAAGCUCAAAGAAAAUGCAAGAUUACCAGCUUCGCUAAAUGAGCGUAAUAGAGAGCUGACAGAGGCGUUUGUUCCGCAGGCUUGACAACCAUGGUGCAACCAGCAGCUAAUGCAGGGCCAACCUUCAUAGCAAACAUUUGACUAGGGAAGUUCCAGGGAAUGAUGUGUCCAACAACUCCGACGGGCUCAUGCAAUGUGUAUCCCUGUAGCGCGGUCGACAUUUUCAGAGUCUCCCCAUGAAUCUUAUCUGCCGCACCCGCAUAGUAGCGAAUUGUUUCUGCUGCUCCUGGAAUUUCCAUAAUCUUGCAAAGGGAAAACAAUUUUCCAGCAUCAAUUGUCUCCAGGGUGGCUAAUUCUUCAUUGUUUUCAUCUAUUAAGUCUGCAAACUUCAUCAUUAUCUUGCGCCUCUCCUGGUAACAACGCAUACAGAGAAAGAAUGCUUAGUUUCAAGCAGUCCAAACCAUGCACACUCUCAAUUGCUCACAAAGCCAUUGAGCUGUAAAAUGGACAAAUGUAAAAAGCUUUUCUGGAUUGAGACUUGCAAGUUCAACCAAGAAAAACGUUUAAAGAAACAGCUGAUUGCUUAAAUCUUGAAAAUAUGGCCAGAGCGAACGGAAAUUGAUUUGUGGAAAAUUAGGACGAUAUAUUCACAUCAUAUAGAUGCUGAACUUCCAAAAGCCUCCAAAUUAAAGCAAAGCAUCGCAUUCUGGUGAUGAUGACAGAUACUAAUGGUGAAUUGGUGAUUGAGACAAAAUGUAUACUUUUCUGGGCCAUGUAAAUCCGGAGUGAGUCAAAACUCGACGGGGAAGAAAUUUCAGCCUAUGGUCCCAUGUAUAACAAAUAUGCGUGUUCAAGUUUUCCACGCAUGGCUUAAAUUAGUACUCCUAUUAGUUUCUUUGUCCUCUUUUUUCUGUUUUAAAAAAAAAAAAAAUUAGUACUCCUAUUUUUACAUCUAUCAUAUAUCAAGUCAUCAUAAUUCAUACAUAACUUAGGAUCAAUUUUAUUACAUAAGUACAUCACAAUGUAAUUUUUGAAUGGAACACAUGAUCUACUAAUAAGCCGAUGGUGAGUAUAAAAGAGUACUAUUCUUUAAGCGCAGAGUAGGCAAUUUAUAUUUAUUUGGUGGAUCCCAGAACCCACAAGUGUAGGAAUUGUGGCGGCACCCAGCUUAGGCGGUAAUAAGAUAAUGAUAGUAUUGAAAACAACUACUCCUAGCAUUAAAGAGUUUGAUCCCAGAGUUGACUUUUUGAGUUCUCCCAGCAUUUGCCAGCGGAAAAAUAGGCUUAAGAACAUGAAGCUGUCGGAUACCAUUAAAAUAUUACCUGCUACUUGCCGCCUUCCCCUUUUUUUUUUUGGGUGUAUCCUGCACUGCACUAGAGGGAGGGGAAGGACAUGAGGAGCUCUGAGAGUAACUCAGAUAUGACUGAAUCACCGUCGAAUCAGACGGGUGUACCACGCAUCCAUCUGAUUUUUUUUGAACGGAACCACUUUUAAUGUGACAAAUUGAUGGGAGGUAAUGAUAAUUUUAAUGCAUUGGUGGUGGUCUGGUGGUUGACUUGCCCCCUUCCAGCUUAAAUUUCAUAGGCUAAAAACUGAUAGUACAACAAAUUGUACAACUAAUCAAAAGUGAAAACCUGGCAAUUAAGAGUAAAAGUUCCUGCAUCGAAAUCAAACAACAAGCAGGGCAUUUAGAUGUGCGUCACCGGUCAUAAUUGCCUUGUAGAGGGGGUAUCAAUGAUUAAUUCUACGUUGAGGUGUUCAAAUAUUCUUCUAUGCAGAAAAAUCAAAGUUCUAUCGUCCAAAGCAAACCAUAUAUUUCUCGUGGCCACUAUUUCGGUUCAAAGUCUUUAUCUUUGACAAGACUUUGAACAUGGAAGAAAGGCCAAUAAACAAAUUCUUUAACUCGAUUGAUCCGGCAGGUUAGUUUGGUUGGUCCGGAUACUCAAUCUUCUAACUUAUUAAUUUGUCAGUAAUUAACUUGGAUAUCAUGUGUAUCAUUGACUCACGUAAAAAAACAGAGAUGAAUUUUAAGGCGAUUACGGACUGUAACUACUGAAACACUAUUGAAAGAAAGGAAGCACUGGAGAGAAGAAUCUUACAAAGCCAGGUAAACGAGGCCAUGGGCCGUUGUCAAAAGCUUCUCGGGCAGCUUUGACAGCCAAAUCGACAUCUUCCUUGUUCCCCUCGGCAAUUUCUGCAAUCACCUCCCUGUUUCUUGGAUCUAUUGUCUGAAAAGUCUUUCCUGUGUGAUCAAAUUUCCAAAAAGAUUAGUCUCGUCUAAGGUCUAACAACGUGAACGAGAACCUAUGCAAUAUCAACAUCAAAGGUCUUCGGUUUUCGUAUUAUGCAAAUGGUAUGCACACUUGCAAACGACAUGUUUAGAGGUAGAGAUAUUUAUUGACCACGCCGCACCAGCCGAUCGAUAUACACAAUUGGAGAUUGGGAAAACCUAUAAUCAUAUUAUCUCUGUUUUUGAGGAUACGUGUCUCGAAUUCCAGAAGUUGGUUCCGAUUUGUUUUGUAUAUGCAUCGGCAAUGCAGUAUUGAGAAUGAACUGUUGCAAGCAGACGAAAGGUUAAAAAGAAAUGGUUAUUGUUUGGCUCAUCGACUUCUGAACUAUCUUCUACUGAAUGAAUUAUUUGGAAAUAAUUUUCCUUAGUAGGUGACGGUUUGGAAGGAAAUGAAAUGUAUGCUGUAGCCUCUUCUCUGUCACUAGUAAAGAAUUGCACCUUUCUAACGCCGAAAUUCAUAUCCGGGAAGAACGGAUUAGGUGCAUCAGAGGAUGGUUGCAACCAGCUGGGCUUUAUCACUUGCGAUGAUCAUGAUGGAUGACAAAACUAUUCUUGGCCCUCCAAAGAGAUUGGAAGAAAUCGAGGCAUAGUAGGAUUGCCAAGAAGAAGACACCAAAGUUUGUAUCAAUGACUAAAGAUUAAUAGCUUUGCUUUCAGAUAAUCUGUAACCAGUACGGAAAACAGAUGAUUUGUCCGGCAAAGUUGCAGCAGUACGAAUUUCUUUCCUGAAAAAGAGUUUCUUCAAAUGCCAUGUGCUAUAACUGAAGCUCCCUUUUCCCUAUCCGCCGCUCUUCUUUGUGCAGUAGAAAAAGAGUUUCCGUUCUCACGAAAACGUAAAACACAUGCACUUAGGAAACAUCGGAACAGACCUCUGUGUUUAUUGUUCAAUUAAUGAGCGUGACAGAAAUGAUAGGAGAACAUAAGGAAGAAAAAAGUAGGAACCUGAAACAGAAUCAACGAACUCUCCAUUGAUGAAGAGCUUGGUGAACUUUAUCUGAGGAACAGGAACCUUGACGCGAGAAUCCAAGCUUCCAUUGCCGUUACUUUGGACAGCCAUCUCUCGAGCAGAAUCAACACCUCGGUUUUUUGUAAAUAACUCACCCUGUCUCCCACGUUAUCUCCACUGAAAGAAACACCCCACGCUUGGACGACUAUAUAUACACACACACACACAAAUUAAAGAGCAAGGCAAGGCACGAGAGAACCCAUACCUCACGCGUCACUGAACUGGGUCUUUUGUUUUUUGUGCUAGUCCAAUUAAAUAUUUAGAAUACGUCACAGGCAGCCAGCCCAGUAGAGCCGCUCGGUAUUGGGCCCCCCUCCUAUUGUCAUCGCAGACAGAUUCCUCCGUUUGUUUGCGUAGUCAUACAUUUAUUAUUUCUCCAAACAUUAAUUUGCUUGCUCACAAUUACUACAAAUCUUCAAUAAAUAUGUCAUAUGUGCAUUAUUAUUUGAUCAGCUUUAUGAUCAUUAAUUAUUGGCAAUCUAGCUAGUGCGUUUCUGUCUGGUAAAACGAAUUAAAUUCUUCAACACAAGAAGAAUCAAUCACAAAUUAAUAAAAGCAUAUUUGAGUUAAAGCAUUUAAUGUUCGUAGAAGUUUUAAUUUUAGCUUUAAUAAACCUUUUUUUUCAAAAUCCUUGCACCCCUCCCCACACCCUUUCUGCCCUCUAUUAUUAUUAGGUCGAACACUGGACAUAGUAGCGGAAAAGGUUCUCCAAGUUCACCGUCCAAUAAAUACAAUUUCAAAUUUGUUAGAAUAAUCAAGUAAAUUUGAACUUUUUUUUUUUUUUACCAGUUGAAUAUUCAACGCAUUUAAUCUUAUAUGUACCCCAAAAGCUAUGGGAAUCUGGAAGAAGACGCGAAACUUUUCACCUAAAAGUUAAAACCCUUAAUUAAUCACGUUGGCUGCGGUAAAGCUAUUGACCGCUGAAAAGGCUUACACUUUACCCUCGAAUUUCCUUGCAGCUUGGCUCAUUUUGCGGAUUGUUAAUUGGGUGUUCUGCGUUGAAUUAGGAAUUUAUAUACCAUCUCUCAUUGACUUUGACAGUCUAGACCAAAGUAACUUUUUUUUUUUUUUUAAGAUAACAGAUGGCUAGUAAAGUGGUUGAAUGUUAAACGCAAUUUUUUCCUGAGAUUUUAUAUUACUGUACAAUACUUUCUUGAGCAAAGGUGUGCCAGAUUCAUAUUUAUAAACCGGAAAAUUCAUCUUCGUCGUAGACUUUCAAUCUCAUGAAACAAAUCCAAAGUGAGACGUAGGAGGAUGAACCGAUGAAGGUAGUUCAUCAUCAAGGUUUUGCUAAUUAAUUACAUUCUUGUGACGAUAAACUGAUUUUUAUUCCUUUUGAUGAGAUAGGCAAGCCACAAGAAUUUAUGAGAACAUUGAUUGGACAACUGCGCAAAUUGAUGAUACCAUCCUUUUUCCAUAUUGCAUUCCCAUUAUUAUUAUAAAUUUUUUUUUUUCGGAUAGAAGCAAUCCCAUUACCAUUAGUUUACCGACGUGUGUCGAUUUAAUCAAACAUUGCCAUGGUCAACGGGCUCAAUAGCCGCUAGUAUUCCCAAAAAAAAAAAAAAAAAAAAAACUACUACUCCCUCCCUCCGUCCCACUUUGAUAGUCCUGUUUCUUUUUUCACACAAUUUAAGAAAAAGUAGUUAAUUUUGUUGGAAAAGUAAAUUUAGAUUGCUAUUUUCCUAAAAUACCCUUACAUUAAAUAAAGUACAAUUUUAUGGGAACUUGAAUUGAUGGUAAAAAAGAUCAACUCUUAUUAAAUGGGGUAGGUUUAUAGUAACAACAACUUACAUUAAAGAAACAACUACAUUCUUCAAUUAGAAAGUGGACUACAAUUUGGGACAGACGAAAAAGAAAAACAGGACUAUCAAAGUGGGACGGAGGGAGUAUAACAAUUUGCUUGAUUUGAUGCGAACGCCCCCACUGACUCCAUGUACAUUACUACAUGAGUAGUUGCGUUUUGACUUUCAUCAUCUUCCAAUUUGUUAAAGUCGUGAAAUAUAUAAAUGCUUGCGGGGGCUUCUCUAACUUUGACAAAGUUUGGAUUAUGCUUUUUGGCAGAAAAAUUAGAGAAAUGUUAUAUACACUUUCACUAUCAUUUUUGUUAUAUAAUUUGUAUAUAUUAGAUUAUAUAAUAUAACAAAUGAUAGGAGUAUAAACAAUAAAAUAUGAAGUGCAAAUAAUAAUUUUCGAAAACUAUCGGAAUAUUUUUUAUAUAAUUUUUAAUUAUCUUUUUAUUUCAUAUACAUUAAAUCGUUAUACUAUAUCUUCUAGCGAGACAAACAUUUACAUGGGGGUUGAAACUGAUCGCUUCUAAUAUUAAUUGUCUCGUUAUUUUAGAGAGAGAGACUUAUUUAUGUAUACAUCUAAUGUUGGAUAUUAGAAGCUGGAUAAUAUUCUAGAAUGCCGCAUCAAGUUUGUCGCUGCUUCUCUCUCAUCACAAAACACUCUGCCUGUACUGCUUGACGAUCAUUUAAGAUCCACCUCUAACAUAAGCACUAAAUUGCCGAUUCACUUUCUCAUUUUGCAAUUAAUACAGGAUAUCAUAAGUCAUGGUUGUCAAAAUUCUUAUGAUAAAAGGAAAAAAUUACAAUUGGAAACCUUUUUGUAUUAUUGAUUGAAUACUUUUUUUUGUUAUAUAUCUUGACGAUUAUCUCUUAUUUACAUCGCAUGAAGAAAAAUAUUAAAGUGAAUUAAUUGAAUAUCAUGAAGUAUAGGAAUUUUAGUUACAAUCUAUUGCAUUCCUAUUUCGCUUGGAGAAUAUGGCAAUCUUGUAGAAAUUUAAAAAAAAAAUUGCCUAUAAAUGAAAAUGUUAAUUUGCAAUGAAAUUAUGGAAAAAAAAAAUGGUCAAUCAUUCAUAUAAGCUAUUCAGGUGAGAAAUGUCAAAUACACCGAAGUUUGUAAUUCCACGAUGCGUUACUUGAAAUUUUUUUUAUAGAUAACCAUACGAGACAACUCGAGAAUUUUUUUUUCCCAUUUAAAUCUUCUGCUCUAAAAAAUAAAUUUUGAGAUAAAUUUGAAUAUUAAUGUGAUAGGCCCAAAGAGCCAACAGCCAUUGUAUAUGUCUUUACAUAUAUUGAGCUAAUUAAUUGUUACAUGUUGUGUUAAUUUCAAAACAAACUUUAGCAUAAGCAUUUAUUAUUAUUAGUAUUAUUUUAACAUUUAUGGUAUGGCUAGUACUUAUUCCGUCCCUCACAUUAAUAUUGAACUUUCAUUUUCAAGAAAAACCAUUUCGUCUACGAUUAAGUAAAAUGUCUUAAAUGAAGAUUGUGAAAUCACCAUCAGCAAGUCGACUUUCCCAUUGACGUGCCACUUAUCAGAAUAGAGCCAGAGGUUUUUCUGUCUACGCAACUGUUUAACUUUUUUUUUUUUUUGCCCAUGCUCGAGCAUUUUCAAUGGGCUGCAAACUGCCAAAUCUCUUAAAUGGGACAACGUUCACAGGGUUGACGUUGACAAUAAUAUAAGAAGCUCCUGAUUUUAUCUUCCUUUAUUUUGGGGCAAAAACCUCUUUUAAUCCUCAAAUUAUUUUUCAUUAGUAAUUGAUCACUAAACAAUUUUAUCGAACUGGUAAUUAUUUAGUCGAUAAUUGCUCUUAAUAAGUGAAAUUAGCAGUAUACACAUGACAUAUUGCGGGGGUAAUUUUAUCCAACAUCUAUGCGACGCUAUUUUACAGAUUAAGUGCUAAUUUCAUAAAUUAUGAGUAAUCAUUGAGAUCAAAUGAUCACGAGUUUACUGAUCAUGUUGUUUAGUGGUCAAUCAUUGAUAAAAAAAAAUAAUUUGAUGGCCAAAACACGAUCUGAUCAAUAGUUUAGUGAUGACGGAAGUUUUUUUCCCUUUGUUUUAUCUUUCUCACGGGACUUUGGAGUCGAAAAUGGGUCGACGGUCCAGUUGGGUUAUGGAAAUCCGCAGCCGCCGUCCAAUUGAGCUCAGGCAAUAGCAAGUUGACAAAUUGAUCAUUUAAAAUGGGGUUUCAAAUUAUACAAGCGAGAUUCAUUGUACGUAAUCCGGCGGCCACAGCCCCAGACGCAGGCGAUAGUACCCCCGUACCAGCACUCACAUUUCCGCAUCCAUCGAUUCAGUCAGGGAAAAAAAAAAGGCAUUCCUCCUCAUUUGACGGACUAUUAUUUCAUGCAAUACCUCUUUGGUGAUAAGUAUAUAUAUUGGUCCGUUGCGUGAUGAUAAUGCGUUGCCUAAUUCAAUACUCCUAUCUAAGUUGACUUCACAAUUCAAGUCUUGCAUUCCAUGACAUUGGGUCAACAUCAAAAAGAACCUUUCUUUCUUUCCUUCUUAUUAAAUAUUAAAAGAGAAGCUAAGGGCAAUAUAUUUCCUUCCUUGACGCAAGACUAAUAGACGCAACAGAACACACUAAUCGGUGAGUAAAAUAAAUGCGAAUGCUUCCGUCGUAAGAUCAUCCCCGUGUUGGCUAAUUUAUUCGUCUGCUGAAAGUCCAGCAAAUGCCCAAGAAUAAUGCAGGUAUCAGAAAAAGAUAUUGCUUCGAUUUACACCCUCCCCAAGAAUAAUACGGAUGAAGAUUAAUAAAUCAAAUGUAUAUUAUACCGAAGAAGAUAUUAGGGACGGUCAAUGUAAUAGUAGUUAAUUACAAGGUGAAAGAAGUAUGUAUCGUGUGGAAAGCUCUUGCAAAGUGGACUAGUUUCUUCUACCUUCGUUUCUAGCCAGGUCCAUGCUACCUCGCAGCAUCUAUUUCUCCUCCUUAUUUGUUUUGGGUUAAUAAGAGGGAUAAAUGCCGUGAAAAGAAAACUGAUUUGAAGGAACAUCACAAAUUGACAAUCCAUCAUGAAUGAUGAGGAAAACAAAUAUUAAUCUUGCUAAGGUCUGGAAACGGACUGUUUUUGGUUUGACAUUAAUUAUGCUUUCAUUCGUGAUGUGAACCUUUCUUAUUUGUUUUAUUUUAAACAAAGCACCAAAUUUGGUUCUUAAAUCGACUUGAGCCAAAUUUGGUCGUUGCUAAACCACACGGGGACAAUCAAGAAGCCCAAAAAUGUUGGAAAAUCUGUCUUUUUUUGGGGGGCUAGUUAUAAACAAUCAUAGGGGUAAGUCCAAUAAUAUCAUGGUGUGCUUAAAUCAGAAGAACCAAAACUAGGGUUGUGGCUUUGCCCAUAAUAAAACUUUAAAAGCCUGAGCCCUGUACUUGUUUUUAGUUGGCUUUAUGUCUAUGCCAGGUAAUUUAUCCCAAAAUAAAUAAAGAAAUAAAACAUAAAACAUCAUUCAGAAUAAACAUAUGUUCCAAUUAGGAAGGCAAUUCUCGUUCACUCAUGUAACAGGAAAUGUGCCCGGCAGUCUUAAGACUCGACUCCUAGUCCUAGACGGCUCAAAGCCAAGGUGAAUUAUAGAGAGGAGUUACAACGGACUUCACUUGAAGAUACUGAUCCAGGGCUUGCAUUCCAAAAUCUCUGCCAAACCCACUCAUUUUGUACCCACCAUACGGGCAGUCAAUGUCAAAAGCCCGGUAACAAUUUAUCCAAAUGACACCUGCCCGUAUUGAUCUAGACACCGUGUUGGCUAUGUUCAAGUCAUUGGUCAAAAUGCCUGCCGCCAGUCCAUACUCUGUGGCAUUGGCCCUCCUAAUCGCCUCCUCAACAGUCCUGCAGACGUGCCCCCGAAAAUUUUAGUACAUUGGCGGCAUGCAGCCAUGCAGGGCAAAGCCCAAGUAAAACUUACUUGAAUUUCAUGAGUGAAAUGACCGGUCCGAAGAUUUCCUCCUUUGCUAUUCGCAUAUCGUCCUGAGAGGUGUGCAGAAAGAAGAGCGAAACAAUCAGAAAUCAAGAAGGUGUCCUUUUUGAAACAUCCAAGGAAAGCGCAAGCUGUAAUCUACAUCCACAGCUUACCUUGACAUUUGAGAAGACAGUUGGCUCAAUGUAAUAUCCCCUGUCGCCGCAUGGUUUGCCACCUGUUAACAAUGUGGCGCCUUCUGCCUUGCCAAUUUCAAUGUAUGAUAGUAUUUUGUCGUACUGUUUCUUGUCUACCUGCAAAAUCAUACUAUUGACUUUACAAUUACAGUGAAGGAUUGGUAUCCUGCAAAUGGAAAUUGGCAAUUAUUCAAUGAGGAAUUCAUUCCCUAAUGGAGACAAAGGUUCAACGUGUAUGAAUUAAAAUGCUCCCAGGCCAAAAUUUGAACAUGACAAGGCCAUCCCACCCUCGUGAGUUGUGACCCUCCCUCCCCCAAAAGCAAAGAAACAAAAAAAAAAAAAAAAAACCUUUUCUGCUGGGACCGCUGGCUCUCUGCUUUCGUCUGUCAUUUUUCAUAUCGAGUUGGUCGGAUGCAUAAUCACGACAAAGAAAAGCAAGGUAGGAGAUGGGACUUCUCUGGAGUUUAGCAGAUAGAGAUAGUAGUAUGAUCUAGUUGGCACUUGGAACUACGUAGAAACUGUUUCUUCUCUUUUUACUAGCCCAAGUAUGCCUUGCAUUCUUUCUGAAGGACUGUAAUCACUAGAGAUGAAUCUUACUAAAUUGGGGUCCUUGGUCUCAGCGAGGAUCAAAAGGUUCAACGUGUAUGAAUUAGUAGUAUGCCCUAGAAUGCUCUCAGGCUUUCCGCAAUAAAGAAGAAGAGAUUCAAUGAUCAAUCUUACUUGGGGCCCCUGAUUUGAGCGAGGAUCAAACGGAUCACCAACAACCCACGUUUUUGCCAUCUCCACUAACUUGUUGGAAAAUUCUUCAUAAAUCCCUUCUUGGACAAAAAUACGAGAACUUGCUACACAGACUUCGCCCUGGAGAAAGUAUUACUAACUCUUAUCAGAACUACUUUUCCGUAGAUGAUUUAGCUAAAAUAAUUGCUACAAUCUUCACCUUGUUAAAUAGACUGCCCUGAAGUACAAGAUCAGCUGCAGUAUCAACAUCUGCAUCAUCAAAGACAAUGAAAGGGUUCUUGCCUCCAAGUUCCAGCGAGACUGGUUUCAAGUUACUUCUAGCUGCAGCUUCCAUUACUAAACGUCCAACUUCUGUGGACCCGGUAAAAGUAACCUACAGAGGGAAAAAAAGCCCGAAAAUGCUUGCUAUUAUGAUGUCAAAACACAAACACAUUUAAUUUCCUAGCAGGCUUAAUUUUUCAGACGGCAUUUUUCCAUGGAAAAAUAAGCAGCUGCAGAAGUUGAAGAUUGACCUUAUCAAUUUCCAUGUGAGAUGAAAUGGCAGCGCCAGCGGUAUGCCCAUAUCCGGGUACAACAUUAAAAACGCCAUCUGGAAUGCCAGCCUGCAGAUUGAAUAACGUCAGAGGAUAAUCAGUCGUUGAGCCCAAAAGAAAAAAAAGGUUGUUACAUUAAUAGCCUGUGGUAAUUUCUGUACACAACUGAUUGAUAUUACUCUAGAGGUGAAUAAAGCUGACCGAAAUCCAAUCUUACUUUCUUUGCUAAAUGAGCAAAGUAAAGAGCUGUAAGAGGAGUCUGUUCAGCUGGCUUUAUGACAACUGUGCAGCCUGCAGCUAAUGCAGGUCCAACUUUAAGAAAUAGAAGAUUGCUGGGAUAGUUCCAGGGAAUGAUGAUUCCAACGACUCCAAUUGGCUCGCGCAACGUGUAACCUUGAAGUUCCCUUGUCAUCUUCAAAGUUUCUCCGUGGAUUUUAUCAGCUGCUCCUGCAUAGUAUCGCAGAGUCUCGGCUACAACUGGAAUGUCGACGGCUUUGAGCCAAUGGAACAGCUUGCCAGCAUCAAGUGCUUCCAGGGCUGCUAUUUCUUCUACACUUUCAUCAAUUAAGUCCGCUAACUUCAUCAUUAAUCUUCUUCUCCCCUGAUUUCAUCAUCAUCAAAUUAUUAAGGUUGUUUGCGCGAGAGGGUUCAACUUCUAAGUAAUAGCAUGAUUCACUACCGAGUACUGACAUGAGCUCAACUACUUAAAACUGAGGAUGAAACUGGUGGAGAAAUGAAUUACAAUUCAGAAGGUUGAACCGUGAUUCGUUUAAAGUAGGAAACGAAAAAAAUUGGAUGGGAAUAGAAAAGAACAUACGGGGCCUGGGAAACGAGGCCAAGGGCCAUUGUCGAAAGCCUCUCGUGCAGCCUUUACAGCUAAAUCAACAUCUUCCUUGUCACCUUCCGCAAUUCUUGCUGUUGGUUCCCCAGAUCUUGGAUCAAUUGUCUCGUAUGUCUUCCCUAUAGAUGAUAAAAAAAAAAAAAAAAAAAAAAACCUGAUGCUAGUGAUUCCGUAAUGGUUACAUAAAAAAGGAACUGAUAAAACAAUAAAAUCAUUGCGUUGAUUAUGCUUGAGCUUGCUUAGAGUUGAAAUAUAAAAAUAUCUAGAACCAUUCAUCUUAACUUGUAAACUCCAAUACCAACAAGAAGUUACAGCUCCUGCGGGUAUACAACAAUAAAUCAAAGAAACUUAGACCCAAAAGAUUUCAUAAAAAAAAAAAAGCAAAGACCUGAGACAGAAUCAACAAAAUCUCCGUUGAUGAAUAGCUUGGUGAACUUUAUCUCAGGAACCAUGAAGGAAUCCUCUAAUUUUCCAUUGCAAACAGCUGCCAUUGAGGUGCAGUAUGGAAAAAUGGUAUAGUAGGUCUGUGAACUGUUGAAGCUAUUGGAAAGUGAGAGUAAUGUAGCACUACCACAAUCCUACUCUAAAAAGCCGACGGAUGACAAUGAACUGGCACUGCCCCUGACUUACUUGUAAUGCGUGGAUGAGGCCAAACGACAGGGAUAGCGUGUUCUGUUUAAAUGUUUAAUUGCACGCAGAUCAUGACUUCUUGAAAGCUUUGGUAUAAUUUAUUCACGACCUUUGGAAGCUUAAUUGGAUAAGCCAAAGUCUAAUUGAUUGCACCUGAAUCAUGACUUUCGGAAGCUUAAUUUUCAAGUUUUCCCCUUCAUGCAUGAGCCAACGCCUAAACGGGAACCUCUUUCGUAUACCCAUUUUUCCUUCCUAGCUCUGGCUUCACGGCACUAUUGUUCUAGAUACAAUAUAGGAGUAGUUAUGCUUUUGUGACUGGAAUUUGAGUGGAAAAGACAGACAUUUGAUUUUGAGGGAACAAGAAAGGAGAUGCCAAAAGAUAAAACUUUGAAUUUUCCGUCGGAAACUUGGAAAAGUGUCACUGACAAAACCAAUUGCGUUGCGUUGCGUUGCGUUGCGUGUCAAUUAUUACGGCUCCAUUUGGAUCAGUUGUUUUUGGGGUUGUUUUUAAAAAACAACACUGUAGCAUUUCGUUUUUGAAAUACAAGCCCGUUUAAAUUAGUUGUUUUUGAGAUUAUUUUUCAAAAACUAUAUGAAAACUUUUACUUGAGAUGUUUUUUGGAUUAUUUUUAGAGGUAUUUUUAAAACAUAUUUUUUGGUAUUUUUAUAAUUUAUAAUUUUUAUUUUUAUAUACAUUUAUGCAUUUAUAAUACAUUUAUAAAUAUUUAUAAAUAAGUAUAUUUAUAUAUUUAUAUAAAAAUAUAUAAAUGUAUUAUAUUAUAUAUAAUACAUAAUAUAAAUAUAUUUAUAAAUGUAUAAGUGUAUAUUAUUAUAAAUGUAUGAAUUAUAAAUUAAUAUUAUAUAAAUGUAUAAAUUAUAAAUUAUAAAUUAUAAAUUAUAUAUUUUUUAUAUAAAUAUACAUUUAUGCAUUUAUAAUACAUUUAUAAAUAUUUAUAAAUAAAUAUAUUUAUAUAUUUAUAUAAAAAUAUAUAAAUGUAUUAUAAAUUUAUUAUAUUAUAUAUAGUACAUAAUAUAAAUAUGUAUAAGUGUAUAUUAUUGUAAAUGUAUAAAUUAUAAAUGAAUAUUAUAUAAAUGUAUAAAUUAUAAAUUAUAAAUUUUAUAUUUUUAUAUAAAUAUACAUUUAUGCAUUUAUAAUACAUUAAUAAAUAUUUAUAAAUAAAUAUAUUUAUGUAAUGUAUAAAUUAUAAUUUUAUUAAUAUAUAUUAAUAUUAUGUGUAAAUGUAUUAAUAUAAUUAAUAUAAAUGUACAAAUGUAAUAUUAUGUAUAAAUGUAAAAUUAAUAUUAUGUAUAUUAUUAUAAAUGUAUAAAUGUAUUAUAUUAUAUAUAAUACAUAAUAUAAAUGUAUAUUAUAAAUAUAUAAUGUGUAAAUGUAUAUUUAUGUAAAUGUAUAAUAUAUAAUAUAUAAUAUAUUAUACAUAAUUUAUAUAAUAUAUAAUAUUCAUAUAAAUAUAUUAUAAAUAUAUAAAAUUAUUUUUUAAAUAAAAUAAUAUAUUUAUAAUAUGUAUAAAUAAAUAAAUAAAUAUUUAAUAUAUAAUAUACAUUAAUAUUAAUUACAAAUAUUAUAAUAUUAUAAAUAUGAUGUUAUAUAACAUUUCAAUUUGUAAUAUUUAUUCUAUAUUUCAUUAUAUAAAUAUUUAUAUAAUAUAUAAUAUAUAAAUAUAUAAUAUAUAAUUUUCAAUUUGUAUAAUAUACAUAAUAUAGUAUAUAUAUAAUAUAAUAUACAUAAUAUAAUAUAUUUAUACAUAAUAUACAUUAUUACAUUAUUACAUAUUAUGUAUAUUAUAUAUUAUACAUAACAUUAUUAUGCAUUAUUAUACACAAUAAUGUACAUAAUAAUAUUAUGCAUUAAUAAUGUAUAUAUUAUAAUAUAAUGUAUAUAAUAUAUUAUGUAUAAAUAUUUACACAUUUAUGUAUACAGUAUUACAUGUUAUGUAUAUUAUAUUAUAUUAUGUAUAAUAUACAAUGUUAUGUAUAAUAUUAAUGUAUAUAAAUAUUUAUUUAAUAUAUAAUAUAUAUAAUUUUCAAUUUGUAUAUUUCAAUUUAUAUUAAUAUAAUAUAUAUAUAAUAUACAUAAUUGAAAUAUACAUAUGUAUUUAUUUUUGAUAUAAUGUUUGGAUAUGGUGUUUUUGGAGUUGUUUUGGAAAUACACAUUUACUGUAGCAUUUGGAAUGUGAAAAACAGUUUUUCAAAAACAGCCCAAAAAAUCAGGGAUCCAAACGGACCCUACAUCUUUCAAAGACGGGCGUAGGGACUAGGGACCAAUGAUGGGCCUAAAUGCCGCCAUUUACCUAAAAGCAAUCUUGGGCCUAAAUGCCUACAAACUCAUCGUCAUUAAUUGGCCAAUUUUUCCAAAACAAUCACAAAUUGUCGUGAUAAAUCCCUUUCUUUUUUAACGUGAUUGUAACUCUAAAACAAUUUUCUUUACAAUUGUGGAAAAAAUUCAAUUUAUAUUUUGCUAUUAUAAGAGUUUUCAGCCAACAUUAAUGUAAUAUUUCUUAUCUGAAUGUGCAUGUGACGUGAGACUAAAAACAAAAUAGUUGGACAUAUCAUUCUAGUUUUCAGCAACAAUUUCUUGAAAAAUUAACCAUUAAACUGGAGCCUUAGUGCUUAGUUGGUUUUUUUUUUAAAAAAAAAAAUUAUACCAUUUUAGUUCUCAGUAACAAUUUCUUGAAAAAUUGACCAUUGUAAUAAUAGUUAAUCAUUCUUUUGAGAUCCUAUCCCCUUAAAAAGAAAUCCCGAUCUAUCCCAUAUGAAAUCCGUAAACAUCACUGAGAAAUUUAGGCCUUGUUUGGAUUGUGAUUUUUCGUCGGAAAAUUAUAUCGUUUUCCGUGAUCACAUUUCUCUAUUACCUUUUUUUCUCACAUACAUCAAAUCGCUAUAGUAAUUUUUCUAUGAAAAAUCAUGAAAAAUGCAAUCCAAACACAACCUUAAACAUCCGUAAAACAAUUACAUCAUCUCAAGGAAGGCAUUUCGCGUUUCCUGCAACAGGAAAGCCAUUCACCCAGUGGUCAAAGCCAAGGUGAACUAUAGAGAGGAGUUUCAAUAGACUUAGUAUGAAGAUACUGAUCUAGGGCUUGCAUUCCAAAGUCUCUGCCAAACCCACUCAUUUUAUACCCACCAAAUGGACAGUUAACAUGAAAAGCCAGGUAACAAUUUAUCCAAAUGAUUCCUCCUGCCCGGAUUGAUCUUGACAGGGUGUUGGCUAUGUUCAAGUCCUUGGUCAAAAUGCCUGCCGCAAGUCCAUAUUUUGUGGCAUUGGCUCUCUUUAUCGCGUCCUCAACCGUCCUGCAGAUUCGCAACACGGCCCCAAAUUUAAAAACAAAAUCAACAGUCCGAUAAAAUGGUUAUAGUGCUGAUUUGUUGAACUAGAUUGCAUUAGAACUUGCUGCAAAAUAUUCCAUUUGGAGCCAAAGCCCAUGUAAAACUUACCUGAACUUCAGGAGCGAAAUUACAGAUCCCAAGAUUUCUUCCUUUGCUAUCAGCAUAUCGUCCUUAGAUGCAUGCAGAAAAAAGAGCGAAACAAAAAGAACUACAACAUUAAUCAAGGCGUCUUUUCUGAAACAUCCGGAGAAAGAGAGAGCCUAUAAGUUAAUUAAAGACAAAGCUUACCUUAACAUCUGAGAAGACUGUUGGCUCAAUGCAACUAAUAUCCCUUCUCGCCGCAAGGUUUGCCACCUGUUAACAGCGUGGCACCUUCUGCCUUACCAAGUUCGAUGCAUGACAGUAUUUUAUCAAACUGUUUCUUGUCCACCUGCAAAAUCGUUUGAAUUUUAGAGCAUCUGAAGGAUCUUGUUAGGCUGUUGCAGAAAAUUGUGUAUAAAGGUUCUGUAAAUGGAAAUUGACAAUUAUUCAAUGAGGAAAUCAUUCCUUGAUGACCAAAAAGCUUCAACCUGUACGAAUUAAGAAGCUCUCUGGGUUUCCAUAACGGAAAAGAAAGUUUCAAAUGAUCAAAUCUUACUUGGGGUCCCUGAUCUGAGCGAGGAUCGAAAGGAUCACCAACAACCCAAGUUUUUGUCUUCUCCACUAAUUUCUUGAAAAAUUCUUCAUAAAUCCCUUCUUGGACGAAAAUACGAGAACUUGCCACACAUACUUCGCCCUGGAAAAAGAAUUUAACUCUUACCACACCUACUUUCUGUAGAUAAUUCAGUCAAUAUAGUUCCUACAGUCUUCACCUUGUUGCAUAGACUGCCCUGAAGGACAAGACUAGCUGCAGUAUCAACAUCUGCAUCAUCAAAAACAAUGAAAGGGUUCUUGCCUCCCAGUUCCAGUGAAACUGAUUUCAAAUUGCUUUUAGCUGCAGCUUCCAUUACUAAACGUCCUACUCCUGUGGACCCAGUAAAAGCAACCUAUAGACCCCAAAAAAAAAAAAAAAAAAAAAAAAAAAAAACCAAAACUUCUUCAAAUUGUGAUGUCAACGUGCAAACAUGUAAUUUUCAAACCAAAAAUUUUCCCGGAAAAGGAAGCAAUUCUUUAGAAGUUGAAAAUUGAACCUUGUCAAUAUCCAUGUGAGAUGAAACGGCAGCACCAGCGGUGUGUCCAUAUCCUGGUACAACAUUGAAUACUCCAUCUGGAAUGCCAGCCUGUACAUCGAAAAUGUACGAGGAUAAUCAAUCAUUAAGGCCAAAAGAAAAAAGAGGUUGGAUAAGUAGCCUGCUAUGAUCUGUAUACACCGUUCCGUUGACAUUACUCCUGAGGUGAAUAAAGCUGACCAAAAUUUGAUCUUACUUUCUUUGCUAAAUGAGCACAGUAAAGAGCUGAAAGCGGAGUCUGUUCAGCUGGCUUUAUGACAGUUGUGCAGCCUGCAGCUAAUGCUGGUGCGACUUUAAGGAACAGAAUAUUGCAGGGAUAGUUCCAGGGAAUGAUGAUUCCAACAACUCCAAUUGGCUCGCGCAAGGUGCAACCUUGAAAUUCCCUCGUCAUCUUCAAAGUUUCUCCGUGGAUUUUAUCAGCUGCUCCUGCAUAGUACCGCAGAGUCUCAGCUACAAGGGGAAUGUCAACGGCCUUGAGAUAAUGGAACAACUUCCCAGCAUCAAGUGCAUCCAGGGCUGCUAUUUCCUCUACAUUUUCAUCAAUCAAGUCCGCGAAUUUCAGAAUCAAUUUUCUCCUCCCCUGAUUGCAUCAUCAUAGAGAAAUUAAUCAAAAUUCAAAAGGCUGUAAUAUGUGUUACUUUGCCUUCAAUCAGGAAAGGAAAGAUCUAAGGGAACAGAAGAACAUACGGGGCCUGGCAAACGUGGCCAGGGGCCAUUGUCGAAAGCCUCUCGCUGCAGCCUUUACAGCUAAAUCAACAUCUUCCUUGUCACCUUCUGCAAUUCUUGCCGUUGGUUCCCCUGUUCUUGGAUCAAUCGUCUCAUACGUCCUCCCUGUAAAUGAUCAGAACCGAUACUGUAUCAUCUCAUAAAAUUUUUCAUUAAAAAAUAACUGAUAUAAGAAUACCAUUGAUUGAUCAUAAUCAUAUGCUUGAGCUUGCUUAGAGGUACAUAUACUACAGUAGCAUAUUCAAAAAUUAGAACCACAAAACUUGUGAAUGUAAACACUACCAGCAAUAUGAAAACUUAUAAUUCCAAAAAAUACAAAAUGAAAUCACAGAAACUUAAGCCAAAAGAAUUCAGGAAAAGCAAAGACCUGAAACAGAAUCAACAAAAUAUCCAUUGAUAAAUGGCUUGGUGAACCUUAUCUUUGGAAUCACAGAUGAACCCUCUAAUUUUUCAUUGGUCUCCGCAGCCAUUGAGGUAUAGCAUGGAAGCAUGGUAGCAGGUAUACGAAUUGCUAAAGCUAUUGCAAAGCGAAAAUAAUGUUGUAGGACACUGAACUGACACAAUUCCCAGAUUAGUUGGAACACAUGGACGGGGCCAAAUUAUACGGAUAGUGUGUUUUGUACUGAACUUUGCAUGUGAAUCAAUAAUCAUGACUUCCUGCUCCUGGAAGCUCCCUUCAAUCAUAAGCCAAAGUCUUGUGUACCCGCAGGAUCACGGGUCUCACGCGUUCAAUUUCAGUCCAAUUGAGGGCAAAUUAGUUUCUUUUAAUUUUCUUAUACUAUAACCUUUGCUUGUUUACACUUUGUCUAGAUUUAUUUGACGGUAUACCUUUACCUGUUUGAACUGGAAGUUUUGGAGCCGCUGGUGUGGUGAUUAUGGCACCUCUUGCAUCUUUUUACGCAGUGAUGAUAGUAUAGCUGGUUCACGUACUCACGUCACUACUGCGUCGGCUAAAAUAGAAUUUUUACGUUUUUUAUUUUCAAGCUAGUGAAUUAAAUUUGUUAGUCUACUCUUAAAAUCAUCCCAAAUCCCUUUAAUUAUUUGAAUUAUUUAGGAGGUAUUUAAAUAUAUAAAUUACAAAUUAUUAUGAUAUUUGAAAUAUAUUUUGAUAAUUAGUGAAUUAUAAAUUUGAAUACCUCUUAAAAAAAUCCAAAUAAUUAGAGAGAUUUGGGCGGAUUUCAAAUCUUUCAUUAAAUCCCUUAAUUCGAACGAAGGAUGAAAGUUCUUGGUAAACUAUUUGAAAUUCACUCAAAAUCGCUCUAAUAGUUUGAAUUGCUUAAGAAGUUUUAGAUUUGUUAUUCAUUAAUUAUUAAGAUACAUCUUAAAUAAAUAUUAUAAUAAGCAGUGAUUUACAAAUCCAAAUGGCUCCUAAGUAAUCUAAACAACUAGAGGGAUUUGAAAAGAUUUUAAAUCUUUCACCAAAUCUCUCAAUCUAAACGGAAGCAGAGAUAAUUUUUUGAUGUUUAGUUUCGAUAAAAUAACAAUGGAAAUGACGUUCAAAACUGCAAUAUUAGUUGGAAACUUGACUAGUCCGAAGCCGGGUGUAAGGCAGUGGAGAUUUCAAAAGCGCCCCAACCAACAGAGCGAAAUUCAUUUGGGCUAUCAUUCAGCUGAAAAUGAUCUUGGGCCCAAAUCACGGAGACGGAUCCUAACCGGGUUGGACUACCAUUUAUGGCGUUACGACUCUUAAACUGUUUAGCCGUCUGUUCCCUCAAGGGAAGUCUGACAACGACUGAUAUCUGUGGGCCGAAAUGGAUUCCGGGGUUAAGAAAAUCAUGAAUGUAUAUAUUUAAACCCAAAUCCCGUAAGAAAAUCAUGGGUUUGGGUACAUGUGAUCAUGUAAGGUUUGUACUCGUAUAAUCUGAACCCAUAUUCAGACCGAGAUUCAUGAUUAGUUGAUGAUAUUUUUUUAUCAAGAGAGUUAAUUGACGAUGUUUUACGCUUAUUAGUUCAUAAUUCUUACUUUUAACAUUCUUGAACGUGAAAUUCAUUUCUGCAUCAAAUCGCCUUAUGGAAUUGCCAGUCCAAACUUCUUGGAUAUCAAUAAUAUUGGUAUUUAUGUCAUUUAAUUAGUGCCUUGCACAUUUGGAAUCAAAGUCAAUAUAACCACAGUGCAAGAGGGUAAUAUGUCAUGUUUAACUUCAGAAGGGUAAUUGCCCAGAUUUUGACUGCAACUUUUUCUUUCCUUCCUUUUUCCUCAAUUUCUAACUCCUUCAAACAUAUCUUCUAUCAGAAUAAUGGCCUAGCACCCUUAAACUUUUUUUCACUCAAUGGCCUCUCAAUAUGGAAGAUGAAUUACUCUCUUUAUCUAUUCUACACAAAUAGGUUUAGAUUUGUAGUAACGUAACCUAAUAAUCUCAGAAACUCUUUGUAAAAUUUAGUUAUGCAUGCUUGUGGCAGUAAUCUAGAUUUCAACCGAUGGUGUGCAGAAAAUCUUUUGCUAAAGUCAUCCAUUAUAUACAGGCAACCAAUUAUCUCUGAUUGAUUAACCAGGUCUUUUGAGUUUCUAUUUGCUCUAGAUUAACUCCAUCUCCUACUUUUAUCUAUAAAAGACAAGGUACAUACAAUACGGUUCAGCGAAAUGGAAUUCAAAGUCGUAUUACCAUCCAUGCACUUUUUUAACACUCCUCUCCAUACAAUACACCCCAUGAGCUCCCCAUGUUUGAAGAACAAGCCUACGAGCUGAGUUUCUGUGGAAACCAUGCUCGAUCAGUUGAAACUGAGUUUCCACCAAAUAGAUGCAUUGAGCAUAAAGAUAUGACUCAAGAUUGCCAUAAACCAACAUCUUGAUCACCACACUACUUAUGCCUUCUCCACAGAACAUGAUCACUAUACAUUAAGCCACCACUAAAACGUACUAAUCAAAGUAUUCUUACACGUCCGCGUCGAUCCUUUUCAUGAAAAAUGCUUGGAGGGAUCAGCAAAGCGCAUCGAGAAAGAUCGAGACAGGAGAUCAUUCUGAACUGGUUCAUCAUCUAACAUCUGCCCAUCAUCAAAGUUCUGCAUAUAACUUUGUGCAUCGUAAGGGGACUUCACCUGCACCCGAGGCUCAAGUAUUUUCCUCUUUUCCUUCAGCAACUUUCUCCAUAAUGCCUUCAAGGACUGCUUCUUGAAUCCUGGGGAAUUAUUUUCCUUAGCUGCAGCGAACUUUUCGAGCUCGUUGUAAUCGUAGGGCCGUCCCAGAUAGAUGUUUCGUGUACUGCUCGACCUGCGCGGCCAAUUGCCUGUGACGUCCAUAGCUGUACAGAGCAGCCAAGAAGCAAGUUACGCAUCACCGCAGGGAGAAGGCCGUCAUAUAGGAGGGCCUAUCUAACUAAUAGAGGUGGGGUGGUUUUUGAUGACUAGAUUAGUCCAAAUUGACUACCAGAAUUUGCUAUCAUUGUUGGAGUAUAAAUUUCUUCGAUCAAAUUUGACCGGCCAACCAUAAAAGAAUUGUGUUUGGUCAGGGAAAUUUAUUAAAGAUUGGGAUUUGACAAUUGGUACAAAGCGGGUGUGGAAUUUGUAGCAGCUUGCUUAUCCAAGUUGUAUUUGUAUGGGUCCUCCAUAUAUAAAUAUAUCCUUUUUGACCUUCAACUAGAAGCACGUGAUUUGCACAAAGGAGGAUCGUUUUGGGCAAUUUGACACAGCUAGAGCUUUUUCUACUAAGCUUCCAGGGUCCUUAACCAAAAAAAAAAAAAAAAAACUAAUAAGCUUCUGGGGUUGGACUUUAGCCUAAAAUGAUGCCCAAAAAGAUCCUGUUCAAAGGUUGCUCUUAUUGACAUCUAAAUAAUAAACCGGAGCUAAUUCUUGAUUUGGCCCUUCAGAAUAACAAAUGUGUCAUCAAAAUAGAGGAUUGCGUACAUCAAUUGAAACGCUCAACUAAUUGUACUAUUUUUUUUUUCCAUUUUGACACUCCCAAGCUCCAAAAGUGUUCGAUAUCACUCCUAUAACCGUGCAAUUAGUUUCUGCCGUUUUGGCCCUUUAAUUACAAAAAGGCUUUGAUGGAUCAAGUGAAACCUUCGGUAUUCCAGGGGCUCAAACCACAAACAAUAGAAUGCUAAUGUUCAAGAUGAAUAACUAAUUAUCAAAAUGGUGAAUUGGCACGUUCACAAAUCACAUGUUUUGGAAGAGUAGGCCUGUUGUAGACGGAACAGAAAUUAAGCAAGACGGUGAUAAAGAAGAUUGAUAGCAUUCCUUUGGUGCAGGGAUAUUAAAUCUCAAUACAGUGCGCCCCAAAAGAAAUGGGAUACGGGCUGCAACCGUUUGUGCCGAUUGUCCUCAUUUUGCACUGCGCGUAAUAUUGGUUAACACGAUGUAACUUUUUUUUCACAGGAUGUAUUUUUAGAACAGAUAGUGGUAGACCCCACACUUGGCGCGGAAAUCGAGUUACAUGGUGUAAUCUCAACCGCACAAAAUUUUGAGGGCAAAUCUUGGCCCUUAACCGUGCAGGGACGGUCAUCAGUAUGACCGUCCCUGCCCCAAAUCCAAAGAAAUGAGGGAGGACUGGGUAUUGUUGAUUUGACAUUAUGGAAUAGGUGCUUGGCGUUAAGGGUUAUAUGGAAUAUUUGCAGCAAAUAAGAGAUUCUUUAUGGGUUAAGUGGGUAUGUGCAGUUUUGCUCAGGAAUACAUCAUUUGGUGCGUGAAAAUACCUUGAAACUGCUCGUGGGAAAGGAGAAAGAUUUUGCAGUUGAAAACCAUGUUUCAGCCUCACAUUGGGAAGGUUCUUGGAAACGGGAAAAGUAUAAAUUUCUGGUACGAAAGUUGGCACUUAGUGGACCAUUUGUACUAGAAAUAUUCCAUGAAACUUUUGCAUUGUUUUGGAAUUUCUUCAGCUGAUCGUGGGGCUAAUUGUAUAUCAAAUGGCAAGUGGAGAUGGCCUGUAGGUAGGAAAUGCACUAGAGAAGUAAAGGAAUUAACGAGAAGCUACUCCUCAGCUAUUAGUGCCUUUAGCUGAUCAGGAAGAUGGCACUUAUUGGGCUGCUCAUGCUUCUGGUAACUUCACCGUUAAAUCUGCUCUCAAGUUGUUGAGACGAUUACAUGGUAUAGUGCCUGGCACCCUUUAAUUUGGGGAAGAAGCAGUAUUCCUCUGCUUUCUUUCAUUUUAUGGCUGUUAUGCAAGCGAUGACUGCAUAUGUUAGUUGAAUAUACCAAAGAUUUUCAUCCAUAUAUAUAUAUAUAUAUAUGAGGUGUUGAGUCACUCCAUUCAUUGCCAAUUGAUUUUGACACAAAAGUCCAACUUAUUUUAACAUAUUAUCAGAGUUGGGCCUUGUGUUUGUUUGUCAUUUCAUGGGUUUGUUUGUUACUCCGUUUAUUUCAUCCGUGACUUGGCUCUUGCUCUAGUUUAAACCCAUUUGUCAAGUCACGUUUGCGAGAGGGUGUUAGUUGAAUAUUCCAGAUUGAUAUUUUAAGAAUUUUCAAUCAUAUAUAUAAGGUGUUGAGCCACUCGACUAUUGCCAAUUGAUUUUGAAAUGAGAGUCCAACUUAUUUUAACGGAAUACAUUUGAUAGGGUGUGAAGACAGGGUAUGGUUCUUCAGGAUAGUAGCUGCGUGUUUUGCUUGGAGGUUGAAGAGCCCAUAGAUCAUAUUUUCUUUCAAUGCAGGGUUGGGACCUGGGCUUUGGGAUGGGGAUUAUCAUUUCAAUGCUUUAGCAGUGUAAAUAGUUAGCUGUUUUUUCCCCCCUAUCUAACUUUCUUGCGGAAAUAAAUAAAACAUCUUUGAUUCUUUUUUUUUUUAAGAAACAAGUGACUCACAUACUUAUUCUAUGAUUAACAACUUAGUUUUAGCAACGUGACACGUGCGAUGACUGUUGGUUCGCCCAAAUAUUAGGAGUGCAUUACUCAUUUUGAUUCAUGUGCUGAAGGAAAUUGUAGAGCAAACGUCUAUCUAAUGAUCCAGCCAUUAAGAUAGGAGCUGCAAGGUAUAAAACGAUCAGAAUGAAUUAAAGUUCUUGACAAAUUUAACAAAAUUAAUGCAAGUGUCCACCAAAACGGCAAGAGCAACUUGAAACUCUUGAUCAUUGAUUGAAUAGCCAAGAAGCCUUGUUGAUGCCUUCGUUAACUCAUUCAACGUCAGGAAUUGGGCAAUUACGACAAUUAUCGCCAGAAAUGCUUCUUUUUUUUUUAUUAUUAUUAUACCUCUGAACCAAUUUCUUUACAAGCGUAGACAGAAGUACAAAAAAUGUCAUAUAUCUCCGUCCAAACAAAUGGAGAAAAUACAUAAAGAAUUUAAUCAAUACUAGUAAUUUCUAAAAAAAGAAUUGGGGCCCAGAAGAAAGAAUGAGCUCAAUGAACCAAGUAUGUAAUAGCCAGCGCAACCACUAGAAGAACAUAGGCAACCCCUUGAUCAAUUGCAGCGCCUGCAUUCAAAACCAUUAAGAAUAGAUUAAGACUUAAUUGACAACAACUACCAGUAGCUGAAAAAUGCUAAAAGUAAAAGGCAAAAAUCGAAUCAGGACUUGAUUAGAACAAGACGAAGAAUAUGGAAAAGGGACUCACCAUCAUUAGAAGGAGGGCCGAUCGGUGCAGGGGAAGGGGCCGUGAUGCUUUGUCCACGGCUCAAUUCAAAAAGCGCCAACAUGAUGAAACCGAUAAUUGGAAGUGCAAACGAUCUGGCGGAGUUCAUCCUGUCUAUAAUUGGAAGAAACAGAGUAGUAUUCCAAAGGGGAGCAAAAAAAAAAAAACAAAACAAAAAAAGGAUUGAAUUGUCUGUGAGGUUGAAGGGAAGAAAAGUUGAAAGAAUUGGCGAAAUGGGAAACUGAGGAUGGGAGGACGAAUGAAGAAAGUGCGGGAGGUCCUAUAUAUAUAUAUAUGUGUGUGUGUGUGUGUGCGUGUGUGUAUGUAUCUAUACUGGGGGUAAGGGACAGGGGGGGGGGAACGUGGGUACGGAGUUGGUUAGAGGGCAAAAACAAGAAAAUGAAGGUUCUGGGAAAUACUAGCUGGAGAGGAGCAGGAGUGAGGUAAAAGGUACGCGCCAAACUAGCACGGUGUCUAUAAUUUGACGACGCGGCUGGCGGCUCCAUUGACCCAAUAUUAUUAUUUCCUGUGGGAACUGGGAAGAAAGGAAGCCAUGAUGGUGGGGCGGGGAAGAGUGGUGGGACGGUAUGAUUGGUAGGACGUGGACGUUAGUUGAAGAAUCGACCACUUCAUUGUUCUAGAAGUCAAAUUAGUCAGCCAAAUGAUAAUACCCCCUCCAACGCCAAAUUUGCCUCGUUAGUUAGUGCAAAGAAAACUAGAAAAGAAAGGUCUUUCUCUGCGACACCACACGGAGAAGAGAAAAGGAAAAGGAAAACAAAAAUAAAGCAGGGGAAAAUGGUCUUGGUACCUAAUUUUCAGUUUUUUGUAACAUCUACCACAUGGCAUAUGCUUGCUUGUUGCUUUCCAGAUGUUAGAUUAUUGGUACGAGUUUUGCAGCAGUCACAGUUAGGCAUCGUCGUUUAGAUCUUUGAGGCUAAGCAAACUUUUCAAAAAUUUUCAGACUUCUUUAAGUCAAGAAAGUUUAGUCCUAUCUACUUGGUGGCUGUUGCCUCUUCUUCUUCUUCUUCUUCUUCGGGUGUUAAAAAUACGAGGGGAACUAGAGAACGGGGCUUCUGUGUCAUAUCGCAAAUGGAAAGCGCCAUCUGAGAACGGGCUGGGAUUCGGGAAUACAGAGCCAUGUGACAGAUGGGGCACCCUGGCGGUUGCCAGUCUCUGCAAGAACCUUGGGCCAGUUUUUAUGUUCACAGUUUCUGGAUUGACUACAAAACUACUAUACAGAUGAUGGGCCGGGGAAGACUUCUAGUGUUGGGCCGAUGAAUAACACAAAUGAGACCCAGCUGAUACAAGGAAGCCACCAAAUUCUGUAAUGUUUAAGGAAGAGUCGGUAGCAGUAAUUCCGUCGAAGGAUUUGCCUUCUACAAUGUUGCAUAAUUGUAACUUGAAAACAAAUUUGAUUACUUAAAUCCUUCUCGACUAAGAUCACCGGAGAGAUUAGAGAUUAUACAUCACCCGUCCAGUCUUACUCGGGCAUAUGCAUCCAAGAACUGUAAAGAUUAGACAGCUACAGGCCUACAAUUCUACCAAAGAGAAGGGGAGGCUAAUAUUUGGCAAAUUGUAGCUAAAAGGUGACCAAAUCCUAGCUUUAGAAGAAACUGAAGUUUGUAUAAUGUGUAUCUCGUUACAGAACUCCUUUUUACAUAGCCAUCCAAAAAAAAAAAAGGAACUGGUGGUUUAUCUGAUAUGAAGAGCAAGAAAGAUAUUGUGCAUGGGCAUCAACAAACCAUCGUAUCCAGAUAAUUUUUGACCCAAAAUGAUGUGAUUUCCUAAUUGCAUUCCAUUGAUUUUCUCUGCUCUACAAGAAGACCUGAACAAUCCUCGACCCAUUACUAGCUUGCACUUGCAGGGGCAACUUCAAAAUGUGAAAUGUGACCUACCAAGAAGUCAAGUGUGCAGGUAAAGAGCAAGUACAUCUUCUCACAUCUUACCUGGAACGGCAUCAGUUCUUCUGUGUCUUUUUAUGGAACCCCUGACUAGGAACUGCAUCAGCAUCACCCCACUCCCUGUCCCCUAAACCAGAAAGGCCGUUUAAACAAAAAGCCGCCCUCGUGUACGUACAUAUGAUCCAACACAAUAUCAGUCCCUGUUACUAUCACACUUGCGAAGGAAACCACCAAAAUAAGACUAUGUCCAAUGCCUUUCCGAAUAUAGAUUUGCUUUCCCCUACAUCAUGCUUUAAUGAGAAAGUAGAAACCUUCCUGGUUUGAUUCGCUGGCAAAUAAUUGGCCCCUCAAAGUUCAGCUCUUCCCUAGACAGUCGCAACAAAACAUAGAAGAAACUUUUUCCUUUCGCUGUAAAAGAAUGUCCAUUCAGGCAAUUAUGAGACUUUUCACUCUUGCAGUUAAAAAGAUUUCCAUGAUAAAUUUGGGAUCAUCAGUUUCAUAUAUACUGAAAUGAAAAAAACCAAGUUUACACAGUGUUAGUAAGUAGCAUUUAUUAUGCAAGAAGUGAUUCUCCAGUCCUAGAAACCACUGAGUUUAGCUCAAUAGCCACCAUGGAGGACUUAAGUCCUUCCUUGGGCUGUAGGUAAGGGUUCAAAUCUCACCUGCAGCAAAAAAAAAUCUAAGGAUAGCGCUAUAGCAUUCCAUUGAUUUAGAUGGGUCCGUAGCCCCUAACACAAGCCUCCUUAGACUCUUCUUUCCCUUAGAUUAGGAUAGAGUAGGUUAUACCCUAACACAAGCCUCCUUAGACUCUCCCUUCCCUUAGAUUAGGAUAGAGCAUGUUAUACAAUGCAUCGUUACUGGUAAAAAAAAAAAAAAAAGAUUGUCCAGUCCUGGAAGCAACUGUGGUAGUGUGUCUGGACAAGUUUAUAACUAUGUUUUAACUUAUCAGGCCAUGGCUCAGCGAGAGUUAGGCAACUGUGACUCAUUUCGUCGGACAAAGACAAAUCAGCUUACUUACUAAGCAAUUACAACAGGACGCCUUGUACCGUUAAGCAAGGCAAUCAUACCCGAAACUUCCUAACAUCCCUCCUAUGCUAUAUACGAUGCCAAAAAUUCACAAAACCGUACAAAUAAGCUACCAGCAUAUUAAUACAAGAGCAAGAACAGAAGAGAAAACGAUAUCAGGCGGAUUCAAGCAAGAAGAUGUGCCAUCAGGACGGGGGAUAUUCAUAUGCAGACUCGAGGAACUUGGAGGCGCAAAGGAGAAGGCGUGGCUUCCUGGAAUCUGGUGAGAUCGAUGACUAUAUACAAAGAACAACGAGAGCGUCUGAAUCUUCAGGACGAGCAAACGUGGCGAAGCUGCAAUGCCUAUGUUCGCCCACCCAUCAUCCAGGCUCCUUUAGGUGCAGACAGCAUCAGGCUAAAUAUGUGUGGGGGGCGAGGUUGUGCAGGAGUUUUGGAAGCUGAGUAGAAGAAAGGAUACAGUUCAGUCCGUGGAUGUUCACAUGUAACAACAUUUCUGUGGUUCACAGGAUGGAGAUUUAUAUCAUCAUGUAUACAAGUUUGCUGCCUCUGUCCAAACACUUCGCUCCUUCAAUCCCCAGGAUCCUCAACCAAAUGCUCGUUGCUGUACUUUCAAAUUAAUUAAUUGUACUGAAUUUUAGUCUCUUGAAUAAAAUUUUUUGCAUCCAGAUACGGGAGGAUACAAAGGCUUGAAAAUUAGUCCAUCAAAUAAGAUCUCAAACAACUAUCCAUACGCUGCAAUUGAGUCCACGGCUUGGAUUGCGAAUGAGUUUGCGUCUACUUUGCAGGUUCCUCAGUGUACUCAGUCAUGUGAUAAUCGUCGGACUACACGUCAGCCGCUAAUAAACCUGCGGCAAUUCGACUCAUUUCCGCCAGACAGUCAUCUUUGCUGAUCUUCCCUUAUCCUUUUACUAGUUGAAAAAGGCCGUCAUUCGUUUUCUUUUCUUUUUUUUUUUUAUAUACUUUUGUCCAGCAAAACAAUUCCCAAAAUGAAAAAAAAAAAAAAAAGUUCCCAAUGACGCACUAGACAUUAAAUACUCUGAAGUGGAGAGCGGUGAUAUGACAAUCCAGAGCAGGGGUGGGCAAAAAAAUCCGAAAAUCCGAAAACCCGAUCGACCCGCCCCGAAAAGUAGGGUAUCCGACCCUAUUUUUAUCAACGGAGCAAAUAGGGUCGGGUACCCAUAAAAUUCGGAUACGAAUACGGAUCACAAAAUCUAAAAUCCGCGGGUACCCGACCCGGGAUAUAUUUUACAAAUAUUAAAAAAUAUAGGGAUAAAUUUAUAAUAUUUUAAAGUUAUUAACCCUAAGUUCCUAACAUAUCCUCACUUCAGUCGACACUCCAGCCUUCAGUCUUCACUUCAGCGCCGCCGCAACUUCUUCACCUUCAGACUUCACUCUUCAGUCCUAGUUUUGGGCUUCUGGACCUUCAAUUUCUCAAGUCCCAAACACUCAAGUUGUACAAGUGCAACGCCAACGCCGACCUAGUCGAUCUGCAAAUCCAUAGCAAAGAAUUUUUGAAUUGUACCAUGUUGUUUAAUACAUCCGUAUAGGUUUUGUUUCUGUAGUUUCGGCAUGGAGUGCUAGAAUUUUGGUAGAGGCAUCAUCAAGGAAGUGAAUUUUGUGUUAAUCUUCGAGGUAGCGUAGUGUAAUUUUAGAGGUAAACUCUUUUCCAAAAAUAUUUCCUCAUUGCGGCAGGAAUUCUCAGCCUAAUAGCUCUUAGCUUUUCUGGACCAACAUGUCUUUGGAAGGCUGAGGUAUACAGCGUUUUGUAGGUUUACAAGAAUUGUGGUGUAUGGAGACCUUCAGAAGAAGUACAGUAGCAUAGCUUUGUCUGGAUAAAGAUUUUUCAGAAGUGCCCUGUUCCUUGGAGAGUUGUUUUUUCCACCUGUGCUUGUAGUAAUUCUUUUACGGUGGAAAGUAGUUGGUGCUUGUACCUUGUUAGUCUAUGAAAUAACAUCUCAAGUCUGCACGUUCCCCCUCCUUUUUUUUUUUUGGCUUUUCUUAUGCUUCAAUGAAAUUGAAAUUCCUUUUCAGUGUGCUAAGAAAUCCUCGCGUGUGUGUGUGUGUGUGUGUGUUCGGCUACUUCAGCAGAGGACUUCCAUUAACCUCAAUUCUGGCAACUAAGGUAUUUGGUUUUGCCAGAAAGAAGACCGUAGUAGCAGCCAGGUUCAUCUUCUAAGAUGAAAUUGCAAAUUUCUUUGUUUUGCUAUUGUCUUUGUCUUUGCAUUCAUACAGGAAUUCGCAUUCUUUAAUAGGGGCGGGUACCCUAUGACCCGCCCCUAUUUUUCGGGUAUCCGAAGAUCGGGUACCCGAGGGCAAGCGGAGCGGAUUAGGGUCAAAAAAAUAGUGACCCGAUAUGUUAGGGUCGGGUCAGUCAUUUGACGUUCGGGGCGAAUACCCGACCCGUGCCCACCCCUAAUCCAGAGUGAUCUCCUUAAAUGCUAAUUCUUUAGGUAAAAUUAGGAAACAAGAAUUUAAUGGAGGUGUCAAGCAAAGAGUUUAUUUGGACGGUAAAAAAAAAAAAAAAAACUUUUCAAUUGCAUCGUAAACAACCAUUCAACUUUGGCUUAGUGACCACAAAAAACAGGACUAAAAAAUUUCUAUUUGAACUGUAGGUAGGUGAGGGAUUAAAUUCUACUUGCAAUAAAAAAAAAUUUAAAAGAAGUGUCAAAGCACCCCUUUAGUCUACUAGCUCCCUAGCUUAAGAUAGAUUACGUUAUAAAAAUAUUUUUUUUCUCUUUAAAUUAGGAAAGAUUACGUUACAAGAAUGUUAUUAGAGCACCCUUUUGGUCUACUAACUCCCCAGAUUCUGAUAGAUUAGAUUAUAAUAAUGUUAUCACCUUUAAAUUAUGAUAGAUUAGAUUAUAAAAAUGUCAUCGUUACUGUAAAAAAAAUUGCGUCUUUUUCAAUCAGCUUUCAUGUUCAAACAAACCCAAUACAGUGAUUGGCUUGUAAGCAAAUGGACGAAAAUGCGGAAGCCAAAUGAGCGAUACGGUUGACGUUAAAUCAUCUCACCUUAUCCUCUCAAGGACCAGUAAGUAUUUGGCGCAUUUUCCCCCAAGGAGGAAAAAAGGAAAACGAGAAAGAAAAAGGUGGGUAUCAAAUGACUAGGAUAUUACGACAUCUCUAUCGGGCAUGAUCUGAGCAUGUACCUAAUUCAAUUGAACUUUAUCCAAUGGAUUAUGACAUCGAAAGAGAUACACAGACAGGCAUCAAUUAAUUACCACAUCCACUCCAAUCGCUUAAGAAACUCGAACCAACCCUGUGGGAUAUCUUUGAAUCAUUAACAUAACAUGGCCAGGGGGAAAAACGUAGAGAUGAAUUAAAAAGUUCCCAGACCUACCGUUACCCUUACCCACCUGAUGGAAGUGGAACCACUCGCUCAAUUCAUUUAUCAAUAAAAAUAGAAUAUUGCCAAGUGAAUUUUAGGUCCAAUAGUUAUUAUUUAUUUGUACCGGCUGCCAUGCCAUCAUUAUCGUUAUCCUGAUCCUGCUCUAGAAAUUUUUUUUUUUUUUUAAUUUUUACCCCGUUGGCCUUUUUCACGGCGCAUUAAUCUCAUCGUUUAGAAGGGGAGCUGGUUAAGUGCUGGAUGGUGGCAUCCAUAUUAUGUGAUGAUGAUAAUACUUACUAGUAGUCUUCUGUGUAUUGAUAAAAAGGUUAUCCUCCUGGAGAUAAUUCUCGUACUAAAGAUAGAAAAGGAGGCAAUUCCAACUUGUAAAGAGGUUUCUUCGUCGAUGGCUCCUUUGCGUUAGAAUUUUCCGUUUUAAAAUAAUCAUCAAAAGUUAGAUGGAAACGAGAAAGACAACUAAUGCAAUUAUGGGUGUGCGAUGACAGCUAAAUAAUGAAAUUUCUCUUCAGCCGAAGCCGAAGGAAGCCGCUUGUCGUCGAGUUAUGGGGGGAGGCACAGCGGAGAGGAUCUGAAUCCAUCGAGGUUAAUAGUAACAUAAAGGACAAAAUCCAAUCCAUCGUGCUUUACACAACCAAACUGGCAGGUGGAUCCCAAGUGCGUGCAUCUAGUACUCUACCUUUAACAUCUGACUCCACGGAGAUUGCAGUCAUGCAGAAAUCCAGGAUCCAUAUUAAAACUGAUUGUGCUAUAUAAUAACCAUGCCUGAGAUUGCGAAAAAUAUAAACUGAAACGAGGAUGUAAAAAGGCAGCCAGGGUAAUAUUUGCCGGUUGAUCAACAAUCUUAGACGUAAGAAUAUACAAGAAAAGUCAUACACACACACACACACACACAUAUAUAUAUAUAUAUAUAUAUGCUGGCUGGCUCCAUGAAAAAGCAGCAGUUAUAUAAUAUUGCCCCUUUUUUUCAUGAAAUUGCCAAGAAGUUUAUGCAAAAACAGAGGCAUCAUCACACAAGGAGGCAAUUAAUUGAUUGAGGACUUAAUACUAGUACAAGGGCUCCCUGAUCAUGUGGAUUCAACCGAUUUGGGAGAAAGAGAAGGGCUGUUGUUAUGGACAGGCAUGGACUUUGAUCUCUUGAAAUAGGCAGUAGAAUUGGAGCGGUGAAACCUGCACCUGAACGAUCCCUGAUGAGUCGUGGGCGAGCAGAGACACUGCUGCUGCUGCUGCUGCUGCUGCCCUUUUGGAGACGAAGAAUUCUGGCCGUUGGCACUCUUGGGGGAUGUUGUGGUUUCCACCGUAAUGCCACCGCCAGCUGGGCCGCGGGGGUGGUGGGAGGAGGCCAUUUAAUUACUACCAGAGAGAGAGAGAGAAUGGAAGAAAACCAUAUGAUAUGGCAAGAGAGUCUUGUUGUGGUGCAUAUGAUAU